rnacentral:lncRNA from 1 species
AUUUUUCUUGUGAAAGAAAAAUGCCACGAUCAUCUUGGUUUACUUCCAUUCCAAGAAAGUAAUUUAGCAAACCAAGAUCCGUCAUCUCGAACUCGUCCUUCAUGUUCUUCUUGAAUGUGUUGAUGAGAUGAGUGCUGCUUCCAGUGAUGAUGAGAUCAUCGACGUAUAAGCUAACAAUCAACACGUCUACACCUUUCUUCUUGAUGUACAAAGCCGCAUCAUUCAUACUUCUUUCAAAACCACUUUGAAUGAAAUAAGAAUCUAUUCUUCCAUACCAUGCUCGUGGGGCUUGUUUAAGACCAUAUAAAGCUUUGUAAAGCCUUAACACCUUUUCUUCUUUGCCUUUUAUCACAAACCCAGGUGGUUGUGUGACAUAAACUUCUUCUUCAAGCUCUCCGUUUAGAAACGCUGACUUCACAUCCAUUUGAUACAGUCUCCACUCCAUUUGAGCCGCAUACGCAAGUAAGGCUCGUAUUGUAUCAUAUCUUGAGACAGGGGCGAAUGUCUCAAGGUAAUUGAUACCAUAUUCUUGAGAAAAACCUCUUGCAACUAGUCUUGAAGAGGAUAACAACACUCAUUCACUUAUAUACAUGUCGUACGGUCGUAACCGUUCGUAACUUGUGGAAACCGACAACUUAAUAACACAACUCAUUAACACACACCCGUUAAUACACAUUCAUACAUAUAUUAAUAUAUGUUAAAUAUGUGACCAAACUCAAUUACCACUAACACUCUCCCUUAAUUGAGUUUCUGUCUAAACCCAAGUUUGCUUCUUGUUGACUUCUGUUCCUUCUCUUCACAACCUUUUCUUCUUCCUCUUGUUGUUGUCUUUCUCUUUGUUGCACAAUAUGACACUCUUUUGUCAAUUGUAUUUGUUUUCUUUUGACAUAAGAGCUCUUGGAAUUUUUCUUUCCCGCAAAUCUUUUCCAUGUCACCUUCAAGUUUACCAUGCCCUUUUUUACGAUUUACUUGAAGUCUCCAUGACCUUUCCUCAUGUCUUCUCCGGGAUCUUUUAUCACGGCUGUUCUUGCAACCUUCUUCCACUCCCUUUCUCUUAGGUGACCUUUCUUCUUAUUCCCUUUUGGUGUCCUCUUGAUCACCAAAUUUGUGAUCCUUUGAUCACCAUCACAUCUCUGUGACUUCUUGUGCGUGAAUCUUCUCCACGUCUUCUUCGAUUGUUUCUACAACAACCCAAUGCUUCCUUUCACUCUUAGGUAAGCAUCUCUCCUUUUUGCUUGGUGUCUUCCUUUGAUCACCAUCACGUCACGUAGACGCCUUGUACGUGAACAUCGUCACGUCUUCUUCGGUGUCUUCUUUUGAUCACCAUAACGUCUCCAUGACGUCUUGUGCGUGAAUCUUCUUCACGUCGUCUUCGGUUUACUCUUCAACCGACUUAUGCUCCAUUUUCCUCCGAGGUAAGCAUCCUCUUGUGCUCCAUUUUUCUCCGAGGUAAGCAUCCUCUUAUGGUGUCCUCUUUUGAUCACCAUCACAUCUCGAUGACGUCUCAUCAGUUCCCUUGAACCUUUUUGCUGAGUAGCCUUGCACUGUUCUCCCAACAGAAGCUUACUCCAUGUUGCAGUGUUCUUCACAACUCAACAACACCUUUUGAUACUAAGCCUUGCCCUGUUUCUUACAACAGGCGGCUUCCCCGUCUUGUUUCACCAAGACCUCUUUGAACAAAGUUUCAGAAUUCUCCUUCCACAACUCCAAAUCCACAUCCGUUUUCUCCAUUGCCUUUAGAGAAGAUUUCCUAUCUUCUUCAUCGCUUUUGGAGCCUUCCUCUUGAAGGUACUUCAUGUGAAUGUGUUUGUGAAGGCUGAUGGUACUCUCUCUUGUUACCACCUCUUCUUGUUCUUCCUUAUUACGUCUUCUUCUUUUCUUUUUCUCUUUUUUUUUUUUCUCGGUUUCUAACCGUAAGAAAUGUUGGCUCUAUCUUUCUCUUCUUCUCGCAACGGAAUUCUUCUUAUCUUUGUUUUACUUGGACAGGCUCCAAGACCAAAUAAGCUCUGAUACCAUGUUGGUAUUUUGAAGAGGAUAAAAAAACAGAGUAAGAGAUAAGACUCUUCUAAAGAAGAAAAGUAAACGAAAAAACUUUUUAUUGAAUCUGAAACUUGUUUGUAUUACACUCUGUUGUAUAUGUAAAAAACAAAGACUCGAUCUAUACUUAUAUGAAACGAAACAUUGUGUUUGUGUAAUAAUAAAAAGACAUGACUCUUUGAUCUAAAGACACAACUGUAAAACAAAACAACUUGUGUCUCUUGAACAAAUAACUAACUUAUGUAAAUGUGAUAUGAUACGAGAUUUGAUUAUCCUUCAACAGGAAUUUAUUUGGAAGAUGAGAAAAUGGCUACGGCUCGGCUUGGAGGAUGAUAUGAGCCGAAGCAUCAGCCACGUGGAUAAUUACUUAUCAGAGAUCAUUAAUACACGUAAGCUCGAAUUAGUGAGUCAACAACAAGAUGGAUCCCGCCACGACGAUCUAUUGUCACGGUUCAUGAAGAAAAAAGAGUCCUACUCGGAUAAAUAUCUUAAAUACGUGGCGUUAAAUUUCAUCCUAGCUGGACGUGACACGUCAUCGGUAGCUAUGAGUUGGUUCUUCUGGUUGGUCAGUCUUAACCCUCGAGUCGAAGAAAAAAUCAUAACCGAGAUCUGCACCGUUCUGAUCAAGACACGUGGCACCAAUGUGACGAAGUGGACCGAUGAGCCAUUAACUUUCGACGAAAUUGACCAGUUGGUAUACUUGAAAGCGGCAUUGUCGGAAACAUUGAGGCUAUAUCCAUCGGUGCCGGAAGAUUCAAAAUUCGUUGUUGCCAACGAUGUUUUACCGGACGGAACAUUUGUUCCAUCCGGAUCAAACGUUACAUAUUCGAUAUAUUCGGUUGGGCGUAUGAAAUUCAUUUGGGGUGAAGAUUGUCUCGAGUUUAAACCGGAAAGAUGGUUAGAGGAAAACCGGGACGAGAUAUGUAACCAAUACAAAUUCGUAGCAUUCAAUGCCGGUCCACGGAUUUGUCUAGGCAAAGACUUAGCUUACUUGCAGAUGAAAUCAAUUACUGCUUCGAUUUUGCUCCGGCAUCGGCUGACGGUGGCUCCGGGACAUCGAGUGGAGCAGAAGAUGUCCUUGACGUUGUUCAUGAAGUUUGGUCUUAAAAUGGAUGUGCAUAGAAGGGAUUUGACGUUGCCGGUGGAGAAAGUGGUGAAUGAGAUGAGGAAUUACGAGAGUUGUGGCAAAAGUGAGAUUAUUGGGACUAAUGAUGGUAAUUAUGGUGAAGUUAAAUUGGUCGUCGGUUUGGCAUAAGCAAUGUGGACGAUGGUAAUUUAGUAAUUGUGUUGUUGUUUAUUAGUUUAUACUUUAUAUUGCGAAUAAAAUGGUCUUAUAACCUUUUUUAUUUAAAAUAUUUUUCACCUAGACGUUGCCAAUUCAAUUAAAUUAAUGAAAUUACACUAAAAAUAUCAAAACCAAACCCGGAUAGAACUUUAUGAUCUUACUCCCAACACUUAAAAAACAAAUGAUUUGGGGAAAUACUAAAUAAAUCAAGGGUCACGGUUAGGCGUAUGUACUUAAGUCGGAAAAUUAAACAUUUGUUAAUUGCAGAGUCUCUAUGAAGCUUUAUGUUAUAAUAUAUACUUAUAAUUGUAUGGUUUCUGCAUACUCAAGAGUUGCAUGAUUUCACACUUGCUUUGAAAACAAAUAUACUUCUGCGAGGAAAACAUUAGCAUAAUACAUGUGUUCAUACUAAUAUAUAAACCACAAUAAAUGAGUAUCGGCCUUGUCAUUAUCAUUAUUAUUUAUCAUUGUCAAUGUCAUUAUACUUGUUAAUUCUUAUAGUAUAGUAUUAGUUAUGUCCCCUGGUUCGAGGUCAAACUGAAAGAAAAGGCAAAGGUCAACGGUGCGAAGCAAUGAACCACCGAAUUUAAAGGUUCUAAUUUAACAUGCUCGUCCAAACACGUGAAGAUGACAUUGACAUGCAAUGAUAUACAUUCAAACAUUACUUAAAACAUGAUUACGGACCUUAAAACAUGAUUACGGACCUUCCGCAAACUUUACUUAAAACAGACAUAAACUAGAUCGAUGUCCCAAUUCUUUAUACAUUGAUCGUUUUACGAAUAGAUUAUGUAAAUUAAAUGGCUAAAACAUCCAAUUUUAAUGUCGUCAAUGCGUCACAAUUCUUAUUCAAAAUCUUUCAAAAUAAGAUAUUCUAUAAUCUAGUUAUUUUAUUUCCUUAAUAUCAAAAUUCUAACGGCCAAUGAUUUAUCAUUGAUUAAAAAACUAUGUGUAUUUAUUCCAUUACGCUUUUUUUAAAUUUUUUUUUUUUUUUUGUAUGAAUGUAAAAUUGUAAUCGUUAAAUUUUUCCUUUACGCAAUUAUGUCUACGAAUACGGAAUACGAACUGUAAGCAUUUAAAAUAUAAUAUUAAAUGGAUGCGAUAUAAAAACAAAGUAUAAUUAUAGAAUAUAUGUAACAGUUAAAUAUUUUAUUUAGGUCAGGACCAAAUAUAUUUGAAACUAUAUUUAUUCGAACAGAAUCAUAUCUCCAAAAAAAUACUUUGAUAUUGUGUUCACCUAAUAUAAUCUUCAUAAAUCUCUUGGGGCAUAAACUAAUAUUUGUAUAAUACGUGUUUAUUAUACACGUACCUUAUUUUUUAAUAAAAAUAAAUCAUGGGAUUUUAUACAUUAUGGUCUUUGUGCUUUACACUGAUAAAAUCAUAACAACGCGUCUCACAAAAGCCUAACGUGACAUCAUUAUCUCCUAUCGGACCGUUAAGAUCGAUUAGCUGACGUGUUAGAACACAUCAUUGUCCUCUUGUCACAUACUUUUUUUUUUUUUUUUUUUUAAUAUAAUUUUCACUAGGCACCCAAUGAUUUGGAAGAAUUUUCAUAUUAUAAUCUUCCCAUAUAAAUUGGGCAGAAUAUCAUUACAAAAGUACCAAGUCAGCAACUAAUUACUUGAGCAUAAAUAAAAAUUUGAAUAGUAGUAAGGUUUUUCUUUUGGUUUAGAUCAAUCAGGAAAAAUAGAAACAGAAUACUAGUAUUCGUUAACUUGUGCUUGUCCCAUAAAUCAAGAUUUUUUUCUCCUCAAGUUUUUCUUCUUGAUCAAUUAUGCAAUUAAAAAAAAAAAAGAUACUUUUGUUUAUGUUCGAAUCAAUCCAAGUAUGGUAUUUUUCCACUCAAACACCCAAUGAAUUGAAAGUAUUUCAUUUUCUUCCCAUAUUUAAGAAUAUUACUAUAAAGUACCAAAUGCAACAAAAUUAGCAUAGAAUAGAUCAAGCAAAUAAUUCUCAAAAUGUUACUAAGCUUUUUUCGUUUUAGAUCAACCAGAGACGACAACUAAGAAACAAAAAAAUAAUAAAAGAUUAGCUUAAUUAGUCCAGUGAUCAAGACUCAAAUUUCAAAAGUUUUUUCAAUUAUGGUAAACAAAAUAUAUAUAAACAAAUCAGAACAAAAUCGGAGCUCUGUCUUUUCAUUAUUAUAUUUUUCAAGUUGUGUCUUUUUCAAGAAAUAAAAUAAAAUUAAUCAAAAAAAUUAAUUAAGGGAUGAUGUUUUUUAAUUAUCGGUUAUAAUCCUAAGUAAUUUAGUUACUAGUAGUAGAAAGAAGAUUAACGCACCAAGAAGAAAUCUGAACAAGUGAAUGCUUUCUUCAAACGCGCUCUCUCUCUCUCUCUCUCUCUCUCUUUCUCUCUCUCCGGUUCUUAUUCUCUCUUUCUAUCUCUACCAAAUUUCUCAGAACCUCUUCGUCUUCUUCGUUAUCUCUUCCUCUGUGUCACUAACUCACUUCACUGUUAGUGAAAGAAGCUCUUAACAAGUCUUUAUACUUUACCAUAUUCACACUUGUAAGCAACGGUUUUAGGGAUCUGAAACGCUUUACUGUUUCUGCUUUGGAUUCUUCGAUUGCUUCUGAGCUUUCGAUUUGAUUCCAUUUCAAGCUGCUGAAUCUGGUAAUUUUUCCAUGAAAUUAGGUCUCGAUUACUAUCAAUUUCUCCAUGAAAUUGCAAAACUUGCUUCGGGUGGUGUUUGUUGUCUGUGUUAAUCCUCCCAAUUUUGUGUGUGUAGAUUUGAGCAAUUGGUUCUUUCUACUUAGGGUUUUCGUUUUUUGUUGUUUCUGGAAUUUGUAUGUGUAGAUCUGUUUGUGAGUUGGGAAUUUUAAGUUUACUGUUUGGAAAUGGAUCUUCUGUAGCUUGAGUUGAAAAUGAAUCACAUUGAUUUUUGAAACUAGCUCAAACUAAUUUGGAGAUGAUACUCUUUUGAUAUCAUCACUCAAGAUGCUCUCUUGGGUGUUCCAUCAUUUUAGAAUUUGCUGGAAAAAAAUUGGGCUUUUGUUCUUGUUAGAAUUAUGGGUUUUGGUGAAUUCUCUAUCUGUUUGUGUCUUCAAUUUUACACGUAAUCAUAGUUGUUGUAUUUUGUAAACCCUAACGCUGGGUUUUGUUGUUGUAAUCAGAUCUUUCAGCUGCUUCUGUGUAUUGUGGUCAAACACCAAUGGAAUAAAAAAAAAUGGUGUUUAUAUUGGGACUUUUCUUUGUUUGUUGACCUAUGUUGGGUCAACCAAGUAUGAUCUCUCAAGUGGUCAAAAAGAUAGUUACUUUGUAGUUGAAUAAGAUCUUUGAAAGAGUGAUAGUGUGAGUGUGCCUCUUGGGUUGUGAGGAAGAAGAUCAUGCCUUGGUGGAGUAAAUCCAAAGAUGAAAAAAAGAAAACUAAUAAGGAGAGUAUCAUUGAUGCCUUUAACCGGAAAUUGGGAUUUGCAUCUGAGGAUAGGUCUAGUGGUCGGUCGAGAAAAUCAAGAAGACGACGUGAUGAAAUUGUGUCAGAAAGAGGAGCUAUAUCUCGAUUACCAUCAAGAUCUCCCUCUCCUUCUACUCGGGUUUCACGCUGUCAGAGUUUUGCAGAAAGAUCUCCUGCUGUACCUCUUCCUCGUCCUAUUGUCCGUCCUCCUGUAACCAGUACUGAUUCGGGAAUGAAUGGAUCACAGAGACCAGGUUUAGAUGCUAAUUUGAAGCCAUCAUGGUUGCCACUUCCAAAGCCCCAUGGUGCUCCAAGCAUACCUGAUAAUACCGGUGCUGAGGCUGAUUUUGCCACUGCUUCUGUGUCUAGUGGAAGUUCUGUGGGUGACAAUCCAUCUGAUUCUCUUCUCAGUCCAUUGGCUUCUGAUUGUGAAAAUGGGAACCGAACAGCAGUAAACAUUUCUUCAAGGUGAGUUUGAAUUGUGAUUGUUAUUGUUGUGUAUUGUGCUCUCUCUCUCUUUACUCUCUAUUUCUAAACAUGUUAUAUCCUACUCUUAUGUAUAGGGAUCAGCCAAUGCAUAGUAAUAAAAACUCAGCUGAGAUGUUCAAGCCAGUCCCAAAUAAAAAUAGGAUUCUAUCGGCAUCUCCUAGGCGAAGACCUCUGGGAACUCAUGUGAAAAAUUUACAAAUCCCGCAACGAGAUUUAGUGCUAUGCAGUGCUCCAGAUAGUUUGAUGUCUAGUCCUUCCAGGAGUCCAAUGAGAUCCUUUGUUCCAGAUCAAGUCUCGAACCAUGGGUUGUUGAUUAGUAAACCAUAUUCAGAUGUUUCCUUGCUUGGAUCUGGACAGUGCUCAAGCCCUGGUUCAGGUUACAACUCAGGUAACAAUUCCAUUGGUGGAGAUAUGGCUACCCAGCUGUUUUGGCCUCAGAGCAGGUGUAGCCCUGAAUGUUCCCCUGUGCCUAGUCCAAGAAUGACAAGCCCUGGUCCUAGCUCUAGAAUACAGAGUGGUGCUGUUACACCUCUUCAUCCUCGAGCUGGAGGGUCAACUACUGGGUCUCCUACUAGAAGACUUGAUGAUAACAGACAGCAAAGCCACCGUCUGCCUCUCCCGCCAUUAUUAAUCUCUAAUACUUGUCCGUUUUCCCCCACAUAUUCAGCAGCAACAUCUCCGUCUGUCCCCCGAAGUCCAGCAAGGGCAGAGGCUACCGUAAGCCCUGGAUCGCGAUGGAAAAAAGGGAGAUUGCUGGGGAUGGGCAGUUUUGGACAUGUGUAUCUUGGCUUUAACAGGUUCGUAACUAAACAAGUCUGAUUUUAGUUCAAAGGAUGCUCUCGUUGUCUCGGAUUUUAUCUUGGCUAUGGGAAGAAUAUCUCUGCCAAAAUCUAUUUCAUACUGGUAGAACUUAUUAUUCCAUAUGAUGGUUACGUUUCUUGGUGCAAAUCUCAAUUUUCAUGGUUAUAAUAAACUGAUUUGUACUCUUCCCAAAAAUAUUGAAUAGGAGAACUCAUAUGUUAUAUUUCUAUGUCACCCCGGGUUUGAUCGGUUUUGUUUUCUUCCUCAGCGAAAGUGGUGAGAUGUGUGCCAUGAAAGAGGUUACUCUAUGCUCAGAUGAUCCUAAGUCAAGGGAGAGUGCACAACAAUUGGGGCAAGUGAGUUACACAUCAUCAUCUGUCCAGAACAAUGGAAACUGCUCUUUGGUGCUUUUAGUCUUUGAAUUUUCUAAGCUUUCAGCUUCUUUUCAAUGAUUGACUCUCACAGGAAAUUUCUGUUCUAAGCCGUUUACGACACCAAAAUAUAGUGCAGUAUUAUGGCUCUGAAACCGUAAGUUAUACAGAUAUUUCUUGGACAUUUCUAUUCUCUGAUACUAUCUACUGUUUCAGCUGAACUGAGUCAUGCACAUGACUACGUUCUUUACUUUCCCAUCCCAAUACAGGUAGAUGACAAGCUGUACAUAUAUCUGGAGUAUGUCUCCGGUGGUUCGAUAUAUAAACUUCUUCAAGAGUAUGGACAAUUUGGUGAGAAUGCCAUCCGAAACUACACGCAACAGAUUUUAUCAGGGCUCGCAUAUUUGCACGCCAAAAAUACUGUUCAUAGGUGAGGCAGUUAAUUCUAUCCAUUCUCCUGAUUCCUCGUUUUCCUUCAUUAGCUGGAGAAUCAAAUGAAUAUGGAUUUUAAUUUUAUUCAGGGACAUCAAAGGAGCAAAUAUAUUGGUGGAUCCCCAUGGACGAGUAAAAGUGGCUGAUUUUGGGAUGGCAAAACAUGUAUGGAUAUGUUAUCUGCAAUCUUUGUUGUGUUUUAGUCCUGUUUGAAAUUUUCCUUCAAGCAGAAACGGCUCAUCUGAAUAAAUUAUGCUAAGUCUAGCUAGAAAUUUUCAUAAGUCUAAUACAAAUUCAUGAACAAAAUGCAGAUUACUGCUCAAUCUGGUCCUCUAUCAUUCAAGGGGAGCCCAUAUUGGAUGGCACCUGAGGUCAGUAUGCUGCUACAAACUGUCGGUUUCAUGUUGAGAGGCUUAAUGCUAAUGCUUUAUAUCUUGCUUGGAUUUCAGGUGAUAAAGAAUUCAAAUGGCAGUAACCUUGCGGUUGACAUAUGGAGUCUUGGAUGUACCGUUUUAGAAAUGGCUACAACAAAACCUCCAUGGAGCCAGUAUGAGGGGGUUAGUAAAUCAUAUAAGUACUCUGAUAAACAUGAGAUUUAAUGAUGCGACUCCUCCAUCCUUAUGUAUUUGAGUUCUUUAUAGGUUCCUGCUAUGUUCAAGAUUGGAAACAGCAAGGAGCUUCCAGAUAUUCCUGAUCAUUUAUCUGAAGAGGGGAAGGAUUUUGUAAGAAAAUGUCUACAAAGAAACCCUUCAAAUCGUCCUACAGCUGCUCAGCUUUUGGAUCACGCUUUUGUAAGAAAUGUGAUACCGAUGGAAAGGCCUAUUGUGUGUGGCGAGCCUGCAGAAACGAUGAAUGUAGCUUCGAGCACCAUGAGAUCACUGGUAUGAAUGCUCAUAUGCCCCAAUUCUAAAUUCUCUAUGCUUCUGAUUGCCUGACAAAUCUGUUUGUUUCAGGACAUUGGACAUGCAAGGAGUCUUCCGUGCUUAGACUCGGAAGAUGCAACCAAUUACCAGCAGAAAGGAUUAAAACCUGGCUCGGGAUUCAGGUACCCAUUAGCCAUUCCGUUUCUACCUUCAUUUUCCAAGCAUCAAAACUUCUUUGUGGCUAAAAUUUCCUCUUUUGGUCACAGUAUAUCCCAAUCUCCUAGGAACAUGUCAUGCCCGAUUUCACCAGUCGGUAGUCCAAUCUUUCACUCGCAUUCACCACAUAUUAGCGGAAGAAGAUCUCCAUCCCCAAUAUCUAGUCCCCAUGCUCUCUCCGGUUCAUCAACACCUUUAACCGGGUGUGGUGGAGCCAUCCCGUUCCAUCACCAAAGACAGACUACAGUUAACUUCUUGCAUGAAGGCAUAGGAUCAAGCAGAAGCCCGGGAAGUGGCGGAAAUUUCUACACCAACAGUUUCUUUCAGGAGCCUAGUAGGCAGCAAGAUCGGUCGCGGAGUAGUCCAAGGACGCCUCCUCAUGUAUUUUGGGACAACAACGGAUCGAUCCAGCCAGGCUAUAAUUGGAACAAGGACAACCAGCCAGUCCUAUCUGAUCAUGUGUCCCAACAGCUCUUAAGUGAGCAUCUGAAACUGAAGUCCCUCGACCUGAGACCCGGUUUUUCAACUCCCGGUUCGACAAACAGAGGACCCUAACCCGUUCGAGUCAAAUGAUUCGACACCAAUGACAGAACCAUAAAACCCAGUGGAAAAAAACAUCAAAACAAAUAGCUGCAGAAACUCCUCCAGGAUCUCGGAAUUGCAACACAGCCUGAAGGGUUCAGGAUCUCGAGGUUUAGGAUCGGGGUUAGGGUUACUGAGCCGUGUCUCAAAACCCUGAACCAUUGGCUAAUAUCAAGAAAUGAGGAUUCGUUUUUUUUCGUCUUUGGAAAAUCUGAAGAGCUCUUUAUCUCGUCUCUCUCUGUUUCUCUUGAGGAUAUACGGGAGUGAGAUAGAGAGAUCAACAAAAAUUGAUUUUGUGUAUAGGAACUUGUGGUGGUAGAACAGAUCAUCACCUAAUUUGUCUAUUUACCUCUUUCUUCUGUCUCUUUGUUUGGUCUGAUUCGUUGCUGAUGAAGGAGAAAAAAAAAGAGGGCAAAGCUUAAAUCUUUUGAAACCUAAACUCUUUGAUGUAAUCUAUCUUUAUUAUAAGAGAAUCUCAAAUUAGAUUAUAAACCCACUCUCUUAUUUGAUUGAUGCUCGUUUCUAGUCAUCAACUGCAAUAAAAAAUUGUCUUGUAAUGGUCUUUGGUCCCAAAGUUCAAACUUGGAAUCAAUAUGACAAUAUCUUUCUAGGGGUUUGAUGUUCUGCUAUGGACUUGGUCUCGUAUAUUGUGUUCUCGUGUCUUACAAAAUUGCGAGUAAUGAACACACCCCUACCAUUCAAAUUCUGCUGUAAUAAAAUCUAGGGUAAUAUACACUAUGCAAGUCUAACAAUUUUUUUUAUCCCGUCGAGUCCAAAUUGAUCACCUAUAAUUUACCAUUGGUAACAUUUAACAAUGAACCAAACAUGAAUAAGAAAAUAUAUAUUAUUAUUUAAAUUACAAAAUCGUCCACACAAUUAUGAGAGCUUAGAAAGUUGUCUACGUUUAUACACAUUUAACACUUUCUUACAAAAGAAACAAAUUAUAUAUAGACAGAGAACGAUCAUGGAUUCUUCUUCAAUAAUGAUGGUGUAAGUAAGUAACAUAAACAACAUAAGAUUAAAAAGGAAUUUGAAGAGAAAAUUAAUCUUACAGCUUACGUUACAUCGGUUGCAACCCCAAAGGCCUUUUUUUUCUCUGUAAAUAUCUCAGUGUUCCAUUUUUUGGUCAGGUCGUCUCAUUUCUCAGAACACGGUUCAAGCCGGACAUGGUGAGGACAAGCCCUUUCUGGUUCUCCUUUUGUCCAUAGAAUCCAAAGAUCGCCUCGUUUUCGAGCCAGCGUUACCAUUGUUCCUGCAGUUCCAUCCCAAGAUUUCUCUCAAUACUCAUUUUAUGGAGAGGGCGAAAGAGAGAGGAGAGAGAGAGAGAUGAGAAGAGAUUUUCCAGCUUACCAAGAGUGAAAGGGACAAUGUAGAGCAAUGCUGGUUGGCCGUGUCCAUCCAUUAGGUUUAAAGCCACGUAAGUAAUUAAAAGACCUGCAAUUUUCAAAUGGGUUUGUCAAUGAUGGAGAAAUAGAAGAUUCUUGGGAUUACGCGGAUUUGUGUGUGAUAUUUUACCUAAUCCGUAGGCAACCAUUGCCCAUAUAAAAUAGCCGGUUCUAAGAGUCUUGUUAGCUAACCAGUCAUAUCUGCAAGAACAAAUGUCGGAAAAGCUUACUACUUGAUGAAAGGAAACUAUAGAUGAUGAUUUAAGAGAGAGAUAGAGUAUGGCUGUUGAACCUGAGAGCAAAUGCGAUUAGCAAACCGGGCAAAAGAAUAUCACCAAAUCCAAUAAUGCUGUAGCCUCCCCACGGAUCAAACAUGCGCGGAAUCUUCAGUAGCAUCGGGAUGCCAUCUUCUCCACUCUUAUCACCACGAGCUACCUGCAAAGAACAAAGAAGCAACAUUGCAUUUUCUUGAGCAUAUGAGAGAUGGGAUAAAGAUUUCUCAAGGAGAUUUGAGUUUGGGCAUUGUUAGAUCCUUUAUGCAAAAUGAUGGAUGGCUGAUUGGUUGGUUACUUACAACAAUCAUUACGCUUUCGUGGAACAACUUCUUCGAGACAAACACCCAGAAGAUAUCGUACAAGAAGGCACAGCUGAGAAGAACUGUACCGACCUGUUACAAGUGAUAUGUGGCUUUAUAAUCUUUCAAAAACUUUUUGAAACUAUACCAUGAAGUAUAAAUGUGUAAGAAAAUACCUUAAGAUUUGGAACAUGAACAAUCUGUAGUACAGUGAUGAUCAAUGCGAUACCCUAGUCAAUAGAACAACAAUAUCAAAUACCAUCUAAGUAAUUGGAAUGUAGUUGUAAAUGAAAUUGUAUGGGGCUGCAAUCCUUACAAGAACAUCUUGGCCAAUCCAAGCAAAGGAGUGAACUCGGUAAACAGCCCAGAGAACAGCAAAGACAAUGCAGAAAGGAGAAACUGCAAGAGUCAGGUAAGAGAUAGGUCCAAGGAAAGGGACUUUUACAUAAGCAUCUGCAGCACGUUGGAACCAUCUGCAAAAAGAACAGUCCAUGACAUCCUCCAAGAUAAACAUUAAAUGAAAUAGAUGUUAAAAGGAAACAUGCUUUUACCUUGAUAGUAACGCGACGAGGCAAGUUUGCAAACCCUGAAGAUAAAGAAGUUAUUACACCAUCUAAGACUAUAACAAGUUUCAAUUCAACUGAAGUAUGCAUUGUAUAAUGAUCAUUAGUCGAACGAUACUCGUACUGAGAAGAAGAAAAGAACUGAAAAGAAGUUGGUACCUCAACACCACCAAUGCAGAAAACAACCACAAGAAGCUCCACAAACCAAUAAGACAUAAGCUUGUAAAGAAUCACCAGGAAUCCCGAAGCAAGAACUACGAAAAAAAUAGCUGAAAUAGUAUUGAUCUCUACAACACCACUACCCCCAUCAUUUGUGUUAGGGAUUUCAUCUAUUGCAUCCUACAUUUGUGCAGAAACAAUAAUGUUAGAAGUAAGAAUGCUUAGGUACGAAUAAUAACAGUGAUGAUAAAACGAUUUAACAAAAGCAACAAAUAAACAAAACCAUGUGAGUCUGUUGUCAGAAGUAGACAAAUGCCUCAAGGAGGGGCCCAACUCAUUAAGAAAAGCCAUCCGUUACCUAUCCAUUUCUUGGAUGUUCAUCUUGACACAACCUUUCCAUAAUUGGGAAAGUAACAUGGUAAAGAAAUGCCUAAGCGUUGUUUAAUAUACUAUAAUUGACUUUUCUUCCUCGGCCUAACCAAGUUACCAACUACUCUGUCCCUUUUGGCAUCAUUGGAAAUGCACAAGAAGGGCAAGGGACUUACUUAUUGGCAGUUUACGUUAUCCUUACCCAUCCAACUAAAUCUUCCUAGCCUAAUAUUAUUAUUCCCAAAUAAAUAGAAAAUGUCGGACCUUCAGUAGCUUAUCAUGUUCAAUAGCUGCCUCUCGGGCACUCCAUGCAGACCAAUAAGAUGCACACAAAAUGGUACCAAUAGCCAUUAACCACAAAAAGACUUCAGCUACGUCAACAGCUGGUCGUCUUGGGGAGUAAAGCUGAGCCGACACUGUCAAGUACAGAAGAUUGUUGAGUUAACCGAUACAUAUUGUGCUUAAAUGACAACUUCGGAAGCAUAUUGUGCUUGAAACAGAAAAGCUAAACAGAUAAAUAAUUAGAGCGUACCUUUUGAACUGUUGGCUAGCAUCUUUUGCAAGGAUGCACCAGCAUCUUGAGGGAGCAUGACGGCAGGAAUCUGUAUAUCUAAAUCCGUUUCAUCCGGUUCACAAACCAUUUUGUAAAGUUCUGUCAGAGACAAACAAACAUAUAAACCAUUAAAUUCUACAAACAAUAUUGUCUCUGACUGUGAUAGUAAGCAUACCCAGAUAACAUCAAAGCAAUAAAACAAUUUCAACAGUCACAUCGAAACAAAACAAAUUACCUUUCUGAUUAUUGAUGAUGAGCAGAGCAGAGGAACCAGCAGCUUCUGCAUUAUUCGCCUUUGCUGUGAACCGACAGUUGCCACGUUCCACAAUAACAACCUCUCCAGAAAGCUAACAAAGAUUGAACACAUUUAAGUUGUACGCAUUCACGUUCAACAUCACAACUAGUUUACAAUGCAUUGAUUAUAACGUCAUAGGUCAUAAAAAACCUUGUUCUUGAGCGGUGUACAAGAAUCACGAGGAUUAGCAAAAACAAGGUGAGUCUGGUUUGCGUUCUUCUCCUUGGAAACUAUCCGCCUCCCAAAUCUAGCCCCAACCCCCACAAACUCCUCAUUCUCAACACCAUCAAUCCACGUUUGAACUUUCACCUAAAGAAUGAACCAGGUUACAACAGAAUCACACACUUAAAACUUUAACCAGAUCUCAAUCCAAUUUAUUGAACACUUCUCAGAUUUAAACAUGAACGAAGCUUUAACUCAGAAUUAGACUUAAACUAAGAGUUUAAGCUUUGACACAGAAUUGACGAAUCCAUAACUUAGAUCAACUACAUAAGCUAAUCAGUAAGCUUAACCUCCAAAAUUACUAAACUAAUCACGAAAUUUCAAUAUCAUAUAAAAUUAGAACGUUUUUUUUUUUGGGAACUACUUGUUGAACUUCGUAAAGAAGCCAGAAAGAGGGAAUAACAACAAAAUUCGUGAAGAAGAAGCUGAAUUCGAAGUAAGAAACGAGAGAUUCUAAGUACCAAAACGAAGUCAUUCUCGCAACCUGGUUUCUUCGGAGCUAGAUUGUCUUGAUGAACAAUAUCACCGGCGGUGACUGUAGAACGGAGAGAUAAGAGUAAAAUCGAAGAUGAUAGAAGAAGAAUCCGGAGAAAUCGAAGCGAAUCCAUGGAAAUGCUCCAAGGAUUCUCUCUUCUUCGCUAUAAUCACACAGAAACAAUGAAGAGAAGCGAGAGAGAGAGAGAGAAGAGUGAAACACGGAAUAGAAUUAAAAAUAAUUAAAUAAAUAAAAACAAGAAAUUGGGAGAUAUUCUUAGAAAAUUUAUUGGGAAUAUUUUAAUUCUAUCUGAUAUCAUUUGUUGGAUCUGUGGAAAGUGACGUAAGCGAGAAGGAAGUAAAGUGCAGGAACAUUGAAAACGACGACGUUAGGUCGAGCUAUUGGACCGGUUUUUGGCGUUUCCUCUGAUUGAACCGGUUUAGCUAAACUGGUUCUAUCACAAUCUUGUCGAAAUUUGUAUUAAACAAAACGAUUCAUGAAUUGACGUUUGUUGCGACAUUUAGGACAAUUUCCUCGGACAUACCAUGUUUUUUUUUUCUCUAAGCAAAUUAUUAUUUAUUUGGUUUUAUAUUUGAUUAGAUUGGUUUUGGAGUGGUCCCAAAAAUACGAAUGGAUAUUGGGAAUCUUUUAAUUUAUAACCAGAAAAUAAAAUUCAAAGUAUGCUUAAUAGUUUCAAAAGACUAUAUUCCCUCCCUGGCAUCAUUGCCAAACAUUCGUAAUUUAUGUUUUCGUCACAAUAUAUCACAAGGCCUAACUUUCUCAAUUUUUCAUAUUAAGAAAUUAUUUACCAAAUUGAAAAACCGUAAUUUCCCCGUAUUCUUUUUUGUUUGAAUUCACUUUUUUCAAUUAUGUUCGGUGUCAAUUUUGGAGAUAUGGAGGAAUAUAAUUAUUUUUAAACCGGAAUUAAACACCUGCUAUCGCUAAAUCAAAACAUACAGUCAUACACUGAUACACAAACACAAUCACUUACAUUUUUGGGUUUUAACGCUUACAAAAUUUGUAAGCAUCUUCUUCCACCUUUAGAAUCUUUCUCCUGCAGUAAGAAUGACAAAGAAAAAACCUCUCAUAAGUCUGAAUCAAGUUUAGUCGAAUCUUACAUUUCGAUAGCUUGGGUUUCCUAACUUUAAGGUAAUGGUGACUCCCAAGGUUAAAUACCUCCAAGUGGUGUAAUCUCUUUUCCUUGAGCAUGUUUUUAUGUCACUUGUGUAGAAUUCAUUACCUCUGUGCAAAUCGAUCUUCGCAAGAGCAUUGGACCAUGGUGGAAGAAAAUCUGGUUUCAUGGACUAAGCUAACUUCUCUUCUAAUGACUUCACCACGGAGAUAUUAAUGACUCUCUGGUAAUCUGCAGAAGCACAGUAAUACAAGGAAGAACAGAUUAGUGAUUGGGAAGCAUCUUGAGAAGUUUCAGCAACUCUUCACAGAUUAGAAACUUGGGUUAUCGUUUGUUGUUUUAGCUGUUACGGUUCUACUUACCGCCAUGGGAACUCGCUUGUGUCUAUUCCAGCUUGGUGAAGCUCAUCAACGUAUUGUAAUGCUUCCCGGCAUUCCUCUCUGUCAUCAUAGAACUCUUUCUUUUCACCUUCAAGCUGAUACGCUUCAUGGCCUUUUCCAGCUACAACCUGCAAAAAUCAGUGUCAAGCAAAGCUAUUUACCCGAAAACACCAAUUGACUAUACUUUGAUUGCUCGAAAAGGUAAAUCCAGCAACUUCAAUACCACACUCGGGAAAUUACUGUAUAGAGUGUGGGUUUAUUUGAAUACUUACAACCAUAUCACCUUCUUCACCCAUAGCAACAGCACAACGCACAGCUACACGUCUAAUAUCAUGAAGAAAGAGUCUAUGACCAUUUGCCAAAGGCGGAUAGUAAUCGUGUUCGCCAUGUUUCAAAUACUCUUGCAUCGUCCAUCCAAUCCCAGCCAACAUGUCAUCCAAGAUGUCCACUAAAACCACAUUGGAAAAUUAACUGUUAAUAUACCUCCACAAAUACUCAAGGGAGAUAGACUCAAUCUCUAAUUCUUAGAGUUACUUACAUGGAUCUUCAUUCCUCGGAUUAUCAGAUGUCAACAUUGUCACAUCGCUCUUUUCAGUAGCAAUUUUUGUCAUAAGCGGUCUUUUCCCUCUUUCAUUCUCACCCUCACAACCAAUAACUUCAAUACAUAAACAAAACCAACUAAAAUAAUCAGAUGACCACACAUAUAAAGACUAUAUAGGAACGGCCGAACAGGCAAAGAGUAUUUAUUGGAUGAAAAAAAUUCUAUACCGGUAAUGAUUCUUCUCGGUUUAAGCUCUCGAAUUGAAUCUAGCAGCCUUGACAAGCCAUCAGGUGUGUUUGCAUGAUCCACAAUAACACCAAAAGCUUGUUCCUCAUCAAUCAACUCACACCUUCCCGGGACUGCAUCGACUUCCUCAACACCUCUAACAAUAUCCUCAAGAGGAGCUCCAACCGCAAUCCCAACAGCCACAGCAGCAAGAAUAUUAUAAAUGUUAUGCCUUCCUAACAAACCUGAAGAGAUCUCCAAUAUACCUUGAGGGGUAUUAACCAAAACCUGUGUCUCAAACAAGGAAAGCUCAAACAUUAAUGGGUGAACAUCGGCUUUGGUGUUUUCCAUGGCAAAUGUCACAACAGGAACAUUAGGAUUCCCUUGCUGGACGAAGAAUGUUGCGUUUGGAUCAUCUAUGUUAACCACUUUCCUAUGCCUUCCCGGAUCAACCAUUCUUGCAAACAACUUGGCUUCAGCAUCUCUAUACUCUUCAUCGGUACCACGAAAAUCUGUAUUUUCUCUAGUCAAAUUUGUGAAAACUGCAAUGUCGAAAUCCACUUCAUCACAUUUCCCUAAAGCAAGUUCUUGAGGAGAAGCUUCCAUAACCAAAGCUUCAGUUCCAUUAUGCAACAUCUUAGCCAUCAAACUCUGAACCAAAACAGCAUCAGGAUUCGUUGUAGCAUUAGGCGUAUCCAAUUUGUUAUCGCCAUGAAUAUAACAAGAAACUGUGCUAAACAUUCCUGUUCGCACGCCCAUCGCUUCGUAGAGGCUCUUAAUCAAAUACGUAGUAGUCGUUUUCCCAUCUGUACCAGUAACUCCGAUCACCGACAUGUUCUUCGACGGAUGCCUAUAAAACGAAGAGGCUAAAGCUGCUAAAACCGCAUUAGUGUCUUCAACAAUGACAAGUGCUUUGCAACCUAAAGUAUCUUCAAUAUCAAUCUCUUUGCUAGCUACAACCGCCACUGCUCCUCUCUUAUCUGCUUCACUCAAGAAACUUUCACUUCCUACACAACACACGAAGAGAUCUCCGGCACUCACACCUCGUGAAUCGUGCUGAAUCCCGGUGAUCUCGACAUCUAAAUCCCCGUAAACUGAGAUUGGUACCACUUUACUCUCAUCUAAAAGCUCAGCUAAGCUCAUUUUGAAUUUAGGUUCCACAAUUCUCACUUUAGAUUCACCAAAAUCAUCCAAAUCGAAUUCAAAUUGAUGAUCAGACCCAAUCUCCUUCUUCUUGUUGAUCCUGGUGUUACCUUCCUCAUCAACCCAAUCUUCUUCAUCAGAAAUCUCGGUUAAUCCAGUUAAUUUAUCAAUUUCAUCCAAAUCAACAACUUCUUCUUCAUCAAGCUCAUCAACAACGUCAGUAACAUCACCUUCUUCCUCAUCUCCCUCCUCCCCAAUCUUCUUAAGCGACGCCGUUUUCGGAGGAUUAGGUUUGAGCAAUCCUUGCUUCACGAACUCACUACGUUUCAUGGAGAUUGCUCUAUCGAUAUCUGAAAACAAAUCGCCACCAGAUUCUUCAUCAUCUCGUCCCGUCUCUGCCGCGUCUUCCACAUCGGCGAUAGCGGAGAGAUAAGUGUUCCGAUUCUUCUCGAAAUCUUCUUCCUCUAGUUUCCGUGCACGAGCAGCUUGACGCUGUAUCUGCUGAAACUUCGAUACUCCGUGCAUUGAAUCCUCCGGUGCUUCAGGUGGAUCGUCAUCUGCAGGGUUCGGGUACGAAUUCCGGCGAGCAGGUCCCGCCGCAACCGUGAGAUUACGGGAAUUUCGAGAGAAUGGUAAGAGAACAGGUUUGUAGGAGAACGAAGAGGUGGUUCCAGUUAGAGAGAGAAAGACUGGGUUAGGAGAGAGAAAAGUGAACGCCAUUGGAGAGAGAGACUGAAGAAAGCAAGCAGUGAAAGGUUUUUCCAGGGGAUAAGAGUUGGUUUUGGGUUACAAAACGGUGCGUUUAAAGAAAUCAAAAACGCCAAAAACAGUGCGUUUCAAGUGUGUAGAAAAAAAAAGGUAGAAAAUUACAACGGCUAUAACAUAAUUACAAUUUAUCUAAAGAAAAAUUUUAAAAUAUUAUCUUUUCAAUCUUUAACACCAUUCAUUAUCGCUGCGAAACUUCCUGAUAAAAAUAUCAAAACACUAUUCGAAUUUGGUUGCACAACGCAUACAACGCCGAUACAACGCAUAGUAAAAUGAUGGGCUUGUAAGGCAGUAUAAUGGCCCAUAAUAUUAGCCCACUAUCUGUAUUAUUUUUACAGAAAAUAUUUGAGAACUAUUUUGUUUGAAGAGAAGACAAAAAGUUGCUUAAUGAUUGCUAUGUUGUUGGGAAAAGGUAUUUUUAUACUCUUACAAUUCGCUAAGUGCAUUUUUCUACUUAUACAAACAUGCGGUGUUAAUUCAUACCCAAACGCAUAAAAAUUUCAAAUUUCAUACCCAAACUUCUUAUUUUGUUGUAGAGAACCAAACAUAUGUUUUAUUUGAAUUAUUUAUAGAGAAAUUAAAAAAAAAGAUUAAUGGCUCUUGGAUUUCUGACAUAAGAGGUUGAUUUAAUUCCUUGAUUUUUAAAAAAGCUAAUGUUUUCAUCUAUCGUUGACCGAGGUUUAGAUUCCGAAUAGAGUAUGGAUGUAAAACAGUAAAAGAGACGGAAUUGUAUCCAAAAUUUCAUGAAAUUUGAUAUUAUUUUAUCCAUUAUGCAUCCAAUUAUGUCCCGCCAUGUACAUGUUCAUUUAGAGCCUAAGUCAUAUCAAGUUUUUUUGCACUAAAGUCUAUAGUUUAGUAGUGUAAUGUAGUUUUGUAUGUCUUUCUCUUAUUUUGAGAGCCGUAUCUUGGUCGUUGAUAAAAACCACAUGGCCACUUUAAUUUGUAACGUGGACCGACCACCGCCAUGUACAGUUGAGUUGGUUUAAUACACACUUUGUGGUUCCUUCGUCUUGGGCCUCACUUCCUACACUUCCUCAGCCCAUUUUCAUAACACGUGACCUACACAUGCUAUAAUGUAAUUACUGUUUCCUUUGUACAAUGUGUCAAAAAUACAACGAAAUUACUAAUUAAUGAGUACUAUAUGUUAUAAAUAAAUAUAGAUAUAUGUGUAUCAUUUAUAUUUGAGAACUAGGUGUUCCAAGCAACUUCAACCAUAUAAUUUUUCUAGUUUGGCAAAAGCUUUAAGAACACAAAGAUCAACAAAGAAUAACUCUCUUUAUUAAUCACUUAGGAAAAUAACUCAAAACCUAAGCACUCAAUCUCUAUUCUCAAAACUCAUAAGUUAUGCUACACCUUAGCAUCUUCUUAUAUAGAGAAGAGUUUUCCAAUUCUCAAAAGUAAAACUUACAUAUUUAGAUAACUCCUAAAUAGUACUUUUCCUAAUCUCUCUCAAAGAUAACUUAUUGUUCAAGUAACUUCAAGCUUAGGCCAACAUUCUCCCCCUUAAGCUUGAAGUUAUCUUCUCUCACAUCUUGAACUCCAAUGAGAUCUCUCAUCUCUUUAAACUUGAUCCUUCCAAGUGCUUUUGUCAAGAUAUCCGCCUUUUGUUCUUCACCGGGAACAUGCUCUACUUCUACUUGUUCAUUCUCGACGCAUUCACGUAUGAAAUGAUAUCUUCUAUGUAUAUGUUUACUACGUCCAUGAAACACCGGGUUCUUAGUUAGUGCAAUCGCAGAUUUAUUGUCAAUCCGUAUUGUCACCUUUUCACAGCCUUUUCCGAUGAUCUCACUUAGAAGUUCUUGAAGCCAAAUUGAUUGUUUAGCCGCCUCCGUAGCAGCCAUGAAUUCGGCUUCACAAGAAGAUAAUGCCACCGUUUCUUGCUUUUGUGAACACCAAGUAAUUGGACAAUUAUCAAGAUAGAAAAUAUGACCACACGUGCUCUUACCAUCGUCUACGUCAACGUUAUGUGAGCUAUCACUGCAACCCACCAACUUCAUCUUCUCCGAACGUUUAAACAAGAGACCAAGAGAGACAGUUCCCCGUAGAUAUCUCAACACUUGCUUCAAGACUGCUCCAUGAGAUUCUUUAGGAUCUUGCAUGUAUCUACUUAAAACUCCAACACUAUAAGACAAGUCCGGUCGUGUAUGAAUUAGAUAACGUAGACAUCCAAUGCUUCUUCUAAAUUCCUUUUCUUCGAUUGUCUUCUCGUCUUUAGACUUUGACAACUGCAAGUUUAAAUUCAUAGGAAUAUGAGAAAGAUUGCAAUCGUUCAUACCCGUUUCUCUCAAAAUCUUUUGAGCGUAUCUUUCUUGUUUUAGACUUAUCCCUCCUUCAUGUUGAUGCACUUCUAUUCCAAGAUAAUAAGUUAGUCUUCCAAGAUCACUCAUCUCAAACUUGGUUGCCAUCUCCUCUUUAAAAACCAGAAUUGCCUUCAUACAAGAUCCCGUAACAAGUAAAUCAUCAACGUAAACCGCAACCGCAAGUAGAUGUCCUUUCUCUUUCUUUUGAUACAACGAUGGCUCCUUUGAGCACCUCUCAAAAUUUAAUUCCCUAAGAAUCUUGUUUAACUUGUCAUUCCAAGCUCUAGGUGCUUGUCUCAAGCCAUAGAGAGCUUUACUUAACUUGUAAACUUUUUCUUCACUUCCUUCUACCACAAAUCCUUCGGGCUGUUGAACAUAAACUUCUUCUUUCAAUUCUCCAUGGAGAAAGGCGGUCUUAACAUCCAAGUGAUGUAUUUCCCAGCCUUUUGAAGCUGCUAAAGCAAUAAUAAACCGAAUAGUUUCAAUACGUGCCACCGGAGCAAACACUUCAUCGAAGUCAAUACCGUGUCUUUGAACAUAUCCUUUAGCCACUAAGCGAGCUUUGUGCUUGUUAAUGCUUCCAUCAGAGUUUCUUUUGAUUUUAAACACCCACUAUAGGCCAAUUGGUUUCACUCCAAUGGGAAGUUCAACCAAAUUCCACGUUUUAUUUUUCUCUAUCGAAGAAAUCUCUUCCAUGCAUGCUUCUAUCCACACUUUCGAUUCUUUUGCUUCAUUAUAGUCCCAUGGCUCCUCAUUUAUCACCGUUAGAAGCCUUUCACACUCUGCCUCUGCCAUGAGAAUAUAAUCACUUAGAUAUUUUGGUUGCACUCUUGGUCUUUUGGAUCUCCUUAACAACGGUUGUGGCUGUUCUAGCUCAUCAUCAUCAUUGAGUUCAUUAUCACCGUUGUUCUCUUCUUUCUCUUCCUGAUCUUCAUUCAACACGUCCUCAUUCACAACUUGAGUAUCAUGUGGGUUCUCCUCUGUUUCAAUUUCUUCCUCUGUUUCUGGUAUAUCAAUGAUUUCUCUUAUACCCUUAUUACCAAACUCGCCUAGCUCAAUAAUAAAAGAUCCGAAAUUACUUUGAGCUUCUCUGUUCCAACUCCAACCUUUACUCUCAUCAAAUACAACAUCCCGACUCACUGUUAUUCUCUUGGUUGUAGGAUCGAGUAAACGAUAUGCCUUUGAUCCAGGCUCUGUUCCGAGAUAAAUUAAAGCUUUUGAUCUAUCAUCUAGUUUCUUUCUUCCAACAGCUUCUGUUCUUGCAUACCCAAUACAACCAAACACUCUAAGAUGCGCAAGAUCUGGCUUUCUCCCUUUAAAGACUUCGUAUGGAGUUGAUUUGACUAGGGAUCUUGUUGCAAUUCUAUUGAUCAAAUAAGUAGCAUGCCUUACAGCUUCUCCCCAUAAAUAAUUUGGAACACUCAUAUGCUUCAAAAUACUUCUAGUCAUCUCCAAGAGUGUGCGGUUACGUCUUUCAACAACUCCGUUUUGUUGCGGUGAAUACGGUGCGGUUAGAUGUCUUUUAAUGCCAUACUUGUCACAAUAAUCUUGAAACUCUUUGGACACAAACUCACCACCUCUGUCAGUUCGGAACGUCUUGAUCGUGUUUCUUGUUUCUUGUUCAGCAAGUAUUUUGAAGUUUUUAAACUUCUCAAAAGCUUCACGCUUUUCUCUCAACAACACAGUCCACAUAUAGCGUGAAUAAUCAUCAAUGAUCACAAAUACAUACCUCUUUUGGCCCGCAGUCGAGGGUGUAAUAGGUCCACAGAGAUCUCCAUGAAUAAGCUCAAGAGGUUGUGUGGCUCGAAAACUUGUUGCUUGUGGAAAGGGCUGUCUUGUUUGUUUUCCCAGAAGACACGAUACACAUGUUUCUUUUUCAACUACAAAUCUUGGUACACUAGACACUAAAUCCUCAUUGAUCAUUGUCUUUAUUGUGUCCAAGUUAGCAUGUCCCAAGCGUGAAUGCCACUUGUUUGAUUCCGAUGAUGAGAUCACUUGUAGACACAAUACGACAUCAACUUCCAACGCUACUUUGUACAACCGAUUAGGAGACCUUGCUGUUUUGACUAGUAACUGACCAAGUCGAUCAUAAAGCAUCAAAAGAUCUCCUUUCAUACGAACUUCACAUCCUCCUUCUGUGGCUUGACCAAGGCUUAAAAUAUUUGACUUUAAAUCCGGUAUAUAGUAUACGUUCUUCAAAAUCUUCAAGACUUUCUUCUCACCAUCCCGAAACACAAACUUAACUGAUCCUUUGCCCUUUAUAUCAAUACGGGAGUCAUCUCCAAAUUUUACUUUUCCCACAAUUGUCUCAUCAAGACUCAUAAAGAAGCUUCGAUUUCCACUCAUAUGGUUACUUGCACCAUUAUCAAGAUACCACACAUUCUCAGUGUCAAGAUUGGAUUCAAAACUGUUUGGUUUGACCUUGUUUUCAUUGAGAUAAACCACUUCAUGCAUCAUUAACUCAUCGGCCUCUUGUGUGGCAUCGUCCUUCUUCUCAAUAGUUUCUUGAAGUUUAAGUAACCGAUCGGGACAAUUGGAUGCGUAAUGACCUUGUUUGUCGCAUCGAUAACAAGUUAUCAUUGCGUCUCUUUCUCGUCCUUGUCUGUAUGAUCCAUUUUGGAAAGAACCAAAAUGUCCACGGCCUCUUCGUCUCCAAUAAUUUCGUCCUCCUUGACCCCUACCUCUGUUAUUUCCAUAGCUUUCUUGUCUUGAAUCUGUGUUAGCGUACAUAAGUUUACCACUAUCCUCUUGCUCUUCUUCUUCUUCACAAAUUCUUUCUUCAUAGACCUUUAAUCUACCCACAAUAUCCUCAAACGUUGUUUUGUUAAGGUCGAGUACUUGCUCAAAAGAUGCCACGAUGUGUAUAUACCUUUUCCGCGGAAGUGAUUUGAGGAAUUUCUUCACAAGCUUUGCUUCGUCGAUGGUUUCUCCAAGGGCUGCCGAGUUUGAUGAGAUUUCAGCAAGUUUUCCAGCAAAAACAUCCACCGUAUCUCCAUCUUUCAUCUUGAUUUUAUCAAACUCAGUCAUCAAGGUUUGCAGCCUAGCUUCUCUGACUCUCUCCGCACCAACGUGUCUCGCCUUUAUUGCAUCCCAAACUCCUUUUGACGUAUCAUGCUCUCCUACUUGUAGAAUCAAAGCUUCUGGGAUAGAUUGAAAUAACAGAGCAGUCGCCAUAUUGUUCUUGUCAUCAUCUUUAUUUCCAGUUUCUAUCGUAUCCCAUACCUUGUUUACUUUAAGAGCAAUCUUCAUUCGCAUAGCCCAGACUGUGUAAUUGGCGGCAUUUAGCAUCGGACACUUAACAGAGGAAGGUACAAUCUCCUUGGCAGAGUUGACCUUGAUCGACUCAUCUUUCUCAUCAACGUCACUCAUAUCUUGUUUGAUGAUUUUAAUCUUCGAAGACUAAUGAAUCAAAACCGCUCUGAUACCAAAUCUAGUUUGGCAAAAGCUUUAAGAACACAAAGAUCAACAAAGAAUAACUCUCUUUAUUAAUCACUUAGGAAAAUAACUCAAAACCUAAGCACUCAAUCUCUAUUCUCAAAACUCAUAAGUUAUGCUACACCUUAGCAUCUUCUUAUAUAGAGAAGAGUUUUCCAAUUCUCAAAAGUAAAACUUACAUAUUUAGAUAACUCCUAAAUAGUACUUUUCCUAAUCUCUCUCAAAGAUAACUUAUUAUUCAAGUAACUUCAAGCUUAGGCCAACAAUUUUCAGUUAGUACUGCAAGUUUAUCUUCUUUUUUGUUACCAAAAGUCUAGGGCGCGUGGUUCACCUUCUAUUUUCUUCAACGAGAACUCUUCGCAAAAUCAAAUUGUGAUGCCAUGUCAGCAAUGGGUAAUAAUACGUUAGGUUUGAAGGAAGGAGCGUCGAUCCCUAUUCCCACAAUUGAUUGUAACGUUGGUUUUCACUUUCCAUGUUCUCAUGAAUCCACAUAAAUCAAUUAAAUUCAGAGCACCUCACCACUCUUUCGCUAGAUUAAGAUUUGAUCAUCUAAAAAUCUUCUAGCUUUACACGCUCUAUAGUGAAAUUGCCUUCCAAUCACGCAUCAUUUUUCAAUUCUGUCAGAAACUCAGUUUUCCGACAUAACCGCGAUAUUGUUUUACAAUAGGGAUGAUCGACGAGAAGGUCAUGAAUCCGAACGAGAUUGAUACGAUAAGCAGAUCACAAACAAUUCCCACCAAGAUUUUCCUUAACUGUGUGUCUCUCUUUGAUUUAAAGAUCCAAACGUAAGUUUUGAUUUGGUUUUCUGGAAUAUGGUGCAGCUAAUAUAUAUAUAGCUACAUAUGAUGUUAUGGUCUCAACGACGCCCUUUAAAAGGACUAGAUUGGGUUUGGAGACUGACAUCCAUGAUUUGUUAUAUUCUUUUCAUUUUAUGGUUUUAGAGUUAGCUUCCCGCAUAGGUAAGUUCUUUUCAAUGAUUUAAAAACAUGCUAUUCAAUUUCUCUACAAUUGAAAUUCUAGUACACUCUCGUAGGUUCGUUUUCUCUAAAACUCUAAUCACCAAGUAUACUUUAUAACAUUGUCUACGAUUCAUACUUAAAAUGUAACACGUCUUCUCACUUGCAUUGAUGUUUCAUGUAUAUAUGCAGAUGGGAAAUGGCAAUGGCAAGCGUUUGUUCGACAUUCAAGAAUCAUAAGCACCUGACCUCAUAAAACUAAAGUGGGAUCCAUCAGAAAUAAUUUACACAAGUUUAUCAUCUAGAUGUUAGUGGCACUUCACUUUGUUCCAUUUAGUUUUUCAUUUUACGUGCUUCUUUCUUUAUAAUUAAAAGGUUCAAUACACUAGACUCCAGUUUCUACAAUAAAACUUACUCAUAUUUACGACUUGGUUUAGAUACAAAAUGGUCAUCUAUGCCAUGCCAUGUAUUGUAUAUUUCAGGUUUCUAAAGGCUUCAGAGGUCUCAGGUAUCCAAAAUAAUGUGUUUCAAAUCUACUUUCUUUACCCACCUACUUAAAAAAUCAGUUAUCUUACUCUUCCAUUCAAUUUGGUCUUUAUAUUGUGUAUGUGCACAUUCCAUGGGACCCCUUAAUUAUUCUCCUUUUUCUGCUUCAGUGGUGAAGUGGUGACAUAAUGGGAGUGGAAGCAAAAACAGAGCACAGAGAAAUUAUGAUUGACCUUUUCAAGUUCAUCCAUUUAUGCACAUAUAUAUAGUUAUGCCUGUUUUUGUUUGUCAUUUCUUCUUACAAAUUUUUGAAGCAUACAAUUUGGCAUAGAUAAGAAUUAAUAUAAAUUUUGUAUCCUCCAUACAUUUUGGAGUCAGAGACAUGAUAACACUUCUUUUGAUUACAACACUUAUGAAUCAAUGGGGGAUUGGCCAUCAACAAAAUUUUGAUUUGUUUGCUAUUGUAUUUUUAUUUUAUGUUCCCACAAUAAUCUUGGUGGUAAUGGUAAUGACGUCUUAACUUACAGAAAUUGUAAUAUGUUUCUUCUUCAUUGUGAAUUUAGAUGCAAAGAAAUUAAAACAUACUGACAUAAGAAGGACAUGAUUCUGUUACAUGAGAAGGACGUGAUUCUGUUACAAAAAUCGAAACCAGAGUUUAAGAUUCAAGGAUGGGUUUUAGAUUCAAGUAGUACUCCCUAUAGACUUUGUGGUAAAAAUGUUAAGACAUAAUAUCAUGAAUUUUUUCUACUUAUACCAAAUAACUAAAAAAAAUAGAAUUUAAAACAAAAUUACCUAAACCGUCAAAUGUUAACCCGGGCGUAGCCGGGAUUUUCACCUAGUUGACAUAAAUAUAUUAUAUUGAACGGCAGAGAGAAACUUUGGUGAAAAGUUGGAUGGAUUUGAUUAUUAAUAACAUAAGACAAGUGGACAACCACACGUAUACCGUUACAAGUCAAACAAUCAUAUUUAUGUUCCACCAAUUUCUAUACAAUAAUACGAAUGCAAUCUCAAAUUUUAAUAAGUCAUAUUGACUUAAGAGUUAACGUGAAACUAACCCCAUUGACUAAAGAGUUAGAUUCGUUACUGGUGAUAAAGGGAUGAACAGAACUACAAUUCCGGUUUGGGUAAAUAUAGAAUAAGUGCAACAGACGAAAAUUAAACAGAAAGAAUUGAUUCAUCAAUUUAAAUCAUAUGUACUACUAAUUAACAAACAAAAAAAAAGAGUUAAAGCUAGGCCUGGGCAAAAAAACCGCUAACCAAAUAAUCGAUCGAACCGAACCGAAAAAAACCGAACCAUAUCCGAACCGAAGUUUUUAAAAUAACCGAAUGGUUUGUAAAAUCUCCUAUCCAAACUAACCGAAACCGAACCGAACCGAACCGAUAACCAAACGGUUAACCGAAAUAUCCAAAAACCUAUAAGAUACCCAAAAAUAAUAUCCAAAACUAUAAUUAUAACCUCAAAAAAUUAAUUAUUUUUAUAAUCAAAACAAUCAAAUACUUUAAAUAAUCAAAAUAUUCAAAUAUUGUUUGUUAUAUUUAUCAAAGUUAACUACUCUUUUACAAAAUUGAAUCAAAUUUUAAUUUUUUUCUAAUAUUUUAAUUUUUUUGCAUUUUCUUUUUGUAUUUUUUUGGUUAAUUUUGGUUAGUUUCGGUUAUAUUCGGUAAAUUUCGGUUAAUUUGGGUGAAAACCCGAACCAAACCGAACGUGAUAAAAGUUUGAUUAGUUACGGUUACCUAUUUAAAUAUCCAAACCGAACCGAACCGAAAGGUAACCGAACCGAACCGAACCGAAAUUCUUAAAAUAUCCGAAUGGUUAUUAUAUUACCAUAUCCAAACUAACCGAAACCGAACGUAACCGAACCGAAACCGAAUGGUCAACCGAAUGCCCAUGCCUACGACAAAUCACAUGUUAAUAGCUAGCUUGAAAACCAAUAAACUAGUUAUUUAACUAAUCAAUAUGAGAACAAAAAACACAUGUAAAUUUCCGAUUAUUUUACGAAAUUUAUUCGCAUAACCUCAUUAAAAUUAUGGUGAAUAUUUGUAAUAUUUAUUACAGACCCGGUAGCAAAUAUCUAACACGUAAAAUAGAAAGAAAAAAGGAACAUGCCGUAUUGGGAUCGGCUACUAUAUAAAUAUAUGUUAUUCAGAUAUUAAUUUCUUGAUAUAUACACACACAUAUUAAAUGUGCAUGUGUAUACACGUACUAAGACGUAGAUGGAACAAUACAAUUCUUUACGUUACUAACUAUAAUAAAGAUUAAUCUGCAGAAAAUAAGACCAAUAAUAUUCAUUUAAGGACUCGAGAACCAAUCGGUAAAUGUCAAGAAAGACUAUAACAGCAAAAUAUUAUACGUAAUAAAUAAUAAUCAUUAAAAGCAGAUGUACUACUUAUUUCAUUAUUUGAGUUUGAUUCCAACGGUUACAUUUUUCGAUAAAAUAAAUUUUGGGCCAAAAAGGUACUACUCCUUUUAUUGACAGUGAUAAGUUAAUGUUUAAAAUCACAUAAAAACCAUGGUAAUAUUUAUGUUUUACUCUAUAUAUAAAUGUAUAUGUAUAUAUUUUUAGAGAUAAGAAGAGGACAGAAAUAAAAGCUUUAUUUGAAAGCAUUGUCUUAUAUCUGCAAAUUUCAAUGUCUCUUUCAUUCUCACGUCCCUCUCCUCCUUUCUCAUUUUCUCUCAUUUAUUUUACAAACUUAAGGAAAAAAAACUAUCUUUAAUUAUUUAUUUUUAUUUUUAAAAAAAUAUUUUCAAAUUAUUACAGUAUAAAAACAAAAUUGUACACUAUAAAUGUCUGGUCGCCUGCAAAAAAAUGUCUGAACAUCUAAAAUCAAAAGUGUAAAUCAGUAAAUCUACUGGUCUUUUGAUUAUUUUAUUUUCACUUCUAAUCAUUUCCUUUUCUUUUUUUUUCCACAAGUUACUUUCCUUCAUCUUCUUCUUCUUCUUCUCCAUAAGCCAAACUAAAACCCUCUUUAAUGGCGAGAGGACCCAUCUCCAAGAAUAAACAGUAAUCUUCAUUUAUUGUCCUUACAAAUUUUUCAUUAAGGCCAAAAAAAAUCCCCAAAUUAAAAAUCAAAUAAAAAUCUUUUCUUUUUUAAUUACAUGAGUAGAUGAAGAGACAAGGGUCCCUAUAAUUUUCUCUUUAGAUCUUCAAAACCCAAACCUCAAUCAUGUUGGUCACUUUUCUUCUUCCUUUAUAAUCUAUGUAGAAACAAAAAUCUAUGGUUUUUAACUUUUCAUGUUUAUCAGUCCCUCCAUCAUCACAAAGCUGAGUGCUUGAUUGGCUCCACAGACAGACUCUGUAAAGAAAAGUUUGCAUUUUUUUUCUGACCCAGUUCAACCAAAAAGCUCUGGUAAGCAAAUCUCUCUUAUAUAUUGUAAGAUAUACACACUUAUUUAUGAAAAAGAUUACAUUUUUUUGGCUAAAGGAAGUUUAUUUUUUCAUGAAUAAGAAGUUUUUUUUUUUCAUGAAAAUCUCAGUUUUGGGUUUAUGGGAAGAUAAAAAAGGUAACCCAGGAAGUAAAAUUGACAGUUUUGUAUCCAAAAGAAGCAAUUUUUGGACACUAUUAGAAUUAUCUGUUUUUGUUGCUGUUACUAUGUUUGUAAGAUUUUUUAAAAAGAUAAGAUUUUUUUUUGUUUUGUUUUUUCAGGUCUUUGAGAAACGAUUUUACUAAAUUGGAGACGAGAGUUUUGAAUGAUUGGUGAAUUUGUUGUUGAUCAUCAAUGGAGAAGAAGCGAUCACCAAGAAGUAGCAAGAGUCCUGGACCUGCAAUUUUCCCUAAAAGCCCUCUUGUCUACGAGAGUUAUAAGUCAGGUUGUGGUUGGAAACUGAUAAAGUUCUUCGAUUUCGGACAUGUCAAAUCUGGUAAUAAGAGACUUGGUUCAGAGAAGAAGAAAUUCAUCAGAGAUUCUGCUGGUUAGUGGUAUUUGAAAUCAGUGUUCUUGGAUCAUUUCUUAACAUGAUCUUAGUGUUAAUUUGAUUUUUUCUCUUUUUGUAGGUAAUGUUUAUACUAAAAGCCAGCUUGAUUUGCUUAAGAAGCUUCAUGAGAAGUGUCAGUGUAAUGAUGUAAGUUUUUAAAAUUGUUAGUUUUGGGUUUAAGCUUAAGUAGAGAUUGUUGAGUGAAACUGAAUCUCUUGAUUUGUUCAGCGGAUUGUGGAAGAAGAGAGUUCGUGUAAGCCUAAAACAAGGAGAAGAUCUUUGAGUUCUGAAAGAGAACUUGAGAAGUAUGAAUCUAAACCUGUUCAGGGAUUGCUAGAGAGAGAGAUAAGAAGGAUCAAGAAUCUAAAGGAGGAAACUUGCGAUGUCCCUGAUAUGCAAAAGCAAUCUUCUUUGAGUGAAAUUGAGAAGACAAAUGAUAAGGAUAAUCAAAUAGAUCUGAAGAAUGGGAGAGAUUGUAAGAAGAGUGCAGAGAUUAACCUUCAAGCUUGUGUAAAUGAAGCUGCUGAAACAUUUAUCUGUUCCAAGGCAGAAGAGAAGGGGAAAGAUCGGUCUAAGCAGUUCAUGGAGGCGUUAGAUAUUCUAAGUUCGAACAAAGAAUUGUUCAUUACACUCUUACAAGAUCCUAAUUCAUUCUCGAAAAAAGGUCAAGACUUGGAAGGAUGUAAGGUAAAGGACCCGCGGGAUAACUCUCCAUCAAGGGAUGAUGAUUUGGAUAACAUUGUUCUCUUGAAGCCUAGAUUAUCAAGCUCGGUUGACGAUAAAGUAUACUUGAGAUUCAAACAUCUGGCCAAGAAGUUGAAGCUCGUUGUUGGAUCUAACAAAGAUAGCAAUCACGCAGAAAACAAACCUGAAGGUAGCGGUAAAGGUAGAGAAACCGAGGCUGCUGCUUUUAGAACAAGUGAUGUUUCUACAAGUACAUUUGGACAUAGAAGCCCGGAGUCACCGGUGUUUAGGCGCAAAAAACGGGUAGAAUCAGAUGUUUUCAAGCUAAGUAUCGAGAACGAUGUUUUGCCAAGGAGAUUCAUGGUAGAAAGGCAACAAGAGAGAUUAAAUUCUUCACCGGUUUAUGAGGUUCCUUAUCAAUUGAGUAGCUUGCAGACAAAGCUCAAAGAAAGAAGACAGAAGCUGGAAAAGAAAAGAGAGAGCUUCAAGUUGUGGUCUUUGGACAAAAACUUCGAGGUUUUUGACCCGAAUCCAUACAAUUCUAAUCUAAGGUCUCUCGACGGCAAUUGUACAGGUAAAAGAAUACAGAACCUUUAACAAAUCAUCGUCGAGCCAAUGCAACUAAACUGUUAAGAUUUGAAUCAGGUUCUGCUGAGUACAAAAGUCUGAGAACUCUUGUAGAAGACGGAUUCGUGAAAGAUAGAUGCCUCGAGAGCUCAUUAGCAGUAAGUACUGAAGAAAAGAGUAGAGAUGUCUAUGUUUCUACCGGAUUGGAUGUUUUAUUUAUGCUUUAAUCCGUUGCAGGAGUCGAAUUCGAGUCUAGAAAGACAAGACUGCAACAUUCAUGACCCGAAACAGGAGCAGGAACAACCGAGUCCUGUCUCUGUUCUUGAGAGGAUUCAUUUGGAAGACGAAACCGUUAUCCCCGGAAAUGUGAAAAUUUCUAACCUUGGUAAAAGCCCCUGAAUCAAUGCUUUCAUUAUUUUCAUCCUUGGAUCACAGUUAUCUGUUUGAUUUACCCGAAAAACUCUGUUACUUUCUUGCAGAAGAGAAGAUUGGAUUAUCUUUUGAUGAUUCCAACAUUGAACUUGUCGAAAAAGAAUCCGUUCAUGAGUUUGUGAAAAAAGUUCUUGAAGCUUCAAGAUUGAAUUGGACUAAUCUUAUGGCAAGGUGCAACGAAGAAACAUCACUACUCGAUGAAUUCUCACAUGGUAAUCACAACGACCAGCUUCUUCUUGUUCUUGAUUACACCGACGAGAUUCUCCGCGAAAUUUACCGUCAAGACAUCAAGUUUUGGCCUUUCUCGCCAUCGAAGAGCUCGAGAGUCGUCAAUCUACAAUCAUCCCUUAGAGAAAAAGAUCUGAUUCACGAGACGAUGAGACAUUUUGACUGGAGUUUACUCUGCUCCGACUCUCCUACAAGAUCAUUGGAUCAGAUCAUUGAAACUGAUAUAAUAAAGCCAUGUCUUUGGUUGGAUUUUGGUGGUGAAUCUGAAGGUGUUGUGUCUGAUAUUGUGGAAAAGAUUCAGCAACAAUUGGUGCUUGAGAUCUCUCAUGAGCUAAGAACAAUGCAGAGGAGCAUAUUAUGUCGAUUAAUCUGAAUUUCUUCGGAUAUAUUCCAACAUUUUUUUUGUCUGUAUAAAAAUGUUUAAAAUUUGAGAAUCUUCUCUUCAUUAUUAUUAGUUAUCUAAAUUUAAAAAGAUUCGAUCUUUUGAUUCGAACUUGGGAUGGUUCUAGUAAAAAGCUUCUGAUUCAUUGAAAAGGUUUUGACUUUUGACCAAUUGAGAUUUUGUUAUUGGAAUUAGGGAUUUAGGGUUUUAACAGCGGCCGGAAAUUGUGGGCAAAAAGAUUCGAACUUUUUUUCAUUAUCUCAAUUAUUAAUGACAAAAGAUCUCGUCUUUCUCGUUUUCUGUGAUUCAGACAAAAGUCAUAAAACCCUAGUUGCUGCUUCUGCUCUGUUUUUAUAAGCCUCCACUUCCCGCCAAGCCUCUCUUAGCCAUAAACAGUGAAAAACCCUAAAUCUCUUUUGUUCCUUCACCAAGCACCAAGCUCUAAAACCCUAUCCAUGGAGACGCCGACGAUGAAGCCUGAUACGGUUUUGAUUCUUGAUUACGGCUCCCAGUACACACAUCUCAUAACUCGCCGUAUUCGUUCUCUCAACGUCUUCUCUCUCGUAAUCAGUGGAACUUCAUCGCUCAAAUCAAUCACUAGCUAUAACCCACGAGUCGUUAUCCUCUCCGGUGGACCUCACUCUGUUCACGCGCUCGACGCGCCGAGUUUUCCCGACGGGUUCAUGGAGUGGGCAGAGUCGAACGGUGUUCAUGUUUUGGGGAUUUGCUAUGGUUUGCAAUUGAUUGUGCAGAAGCUUGGAGGUGUUGUUGUGGAAGGAGAAAGUAAAGAGUAUGGGAAGAUGGAGAUUGAAGUGAAGGGCAAAUCGGAGAUUUUUGGGUCGGGGAGUGGUGGAGAGAAGCAAAUGGUUUGGAUGAGUCAUGGUGAUGAAGCGGUUAAGCUUCCUGAAGGGUUUGAAGUUGUGGCUCAGAGUGCUCAAGGAGCUGUUGCUGCUUUGGAGAAUCGGAAGAAGAAGAUUUAUGGAUUGCAGUAUCAUCCUGAGGUAUUGAAACUUGUAGAAUCUGAUAUAAGAUCAUAGUUUUGGAUUGGAGUUUUAGUGGGUUUAGUGUUUUUGGAUGAUAAAGUCUGGAUCUUUGGCAUGUUAGCUGUUCAUAUCUUAAUGAAUCUGUGACUCUCUGAUAAGUGAAAAAUGUGAGACAUUUCUUAAUUUGGACAUAGCUAUUUUAAUGGUUGGUUAGUGUGAUCCUAGAGGGUGAGGAAUCUGAUAUAGUAUUGUAGUUUGGAUUGGAUAGUGGAUUUUAAAUUUAUGGAUGACAAAGUCUGGAUCUUUGGCUUACUAGCUAUUCGUAUCCGUAAUGAAUCUGAUGAGACUACUUGGGAGAAUUUAGUUCAUGUUCUGUGAUUCUCUCAUAAGCGAAUAAUAUGAGACUGUUUUUGAAUAUAACUCGGGAAUUCAAUUUUAUUGACAUAGCUAUUUAAUGGUUGGUUAGUUUGCUUCUAGAGACUGAAUAAUUUGAUAUAGUAUCAUUGUUUGGAUUGGAUUUUAAGUGGAUUUAGUACUUCUAUUUGAUUGAAAUAACUAUAUCAAUGUUUUGUUAGUCCAUUGAUUUGAGAAUUACUCGUGAAUGUCGGUAAAUGAUGUGCUGGUUAAGUGUUGAUUUCUUGCUUAUGAUGAAAUGGUUUUUGUUUGAUUUUGCAGGUAACUCAUUCACCAAAAGGGAUGGAGACACUUCGGCACUUCCUCUUUGAUGUAUGUGGAGUAUCUGCCGAUUGGAAAAUGGAGGAUCUGAUGGAAGAAGAGAUCAAAGUGAUUAACCAAACCGUUGCAUCUGACGAACAUGUCAUUUGCGCCUUGUCAGGAGGUGUGGACUCUACUGUUGCUGCAACUCUUGUUCACAAGGCAAUUGGAGAUAGGCUUCAUUGUAUCUUUGUUGAUAACGGGCUAUUAAGGUUAGAGAAGAAGCGACUUUCAUUGUGAUGUGCACUUUUAUUGUGUUUUUUCGUUAAUUGAGAAUGGUCCCUUUUGUAGGUAUAAGGAGCAAGAACGUGUGAUGGAUACCUUUGAGAGAGACUUGCAUCUACCUGUUACUUGUGUUGACGCAUCCGAGCGGUUUUUGAGUGAACUUAAAGGCGUUGUGGAUCCCGAGACCAAGAGAAAGAUAAUCGGAAAGGAGUUCAUCAACAUUUUUGAUCAAUUUGCCCAAGAGUUAGAAAAAAAGCAUGGGAAGAAACCUGCUUUUCUAGUUCAAGGGACUCUGUACCCUGAUGUGAUUGAGUCGUGCCCUCCCCCUGGUACUGAUAGAACUCAUUCUCACACCAUCAAAAGUCAUCAUAACGUUGGAGGACUCCCUAAAGACAUGAAAUUGAAGCUGAUCGAACCACUCAAGCUUCUCUUCAAAGACGAGGUGUGUUACUAUUGUCUUUUUACUAUCUUUCUUGUCUGCAACUGUCGAGUGUUUGGUAUGUGAUCUUUCUCUGAUUUCUUGUGCAAUAAAGGUUCGUGAGCUCGGAAGAAUCUUGAAUGUUCCUGUAGGAUUCUUGAAGCGUCACCCAUUCCCUGGUCCGGGACUCGCAGUUAGAGUUUUGGGCGAUGUCACCCAAGGAAACGCCCUCGAGGUUCUUCGUCAGGUGAUCUCUUGAAAACUUCAAACCGGCUAUAUAAAUUCUUUGGUUUUGUACUUACUCAUUUACCAAACUCAUCUUUUUUUUUUUCCGGUUUUUUUUCCAUCUCCUCAGGUUGAUGAGAUUUUCAUCCAAUCAAUCAGAGAUGCGGGUCUCUAUGAUUCGAUCUGGCAAGCUUUCGCAGUGUUCUUGCCUGUAAGAUCAGUUGGAGUCCAAGGUGACAAGAGAACACAUUCUCAUGUGGUUGCUCUACGGGCAGUUACAAGCCAAGAUGGAAUGACUGCAGACUGGUAAGCUUCUUACUUGUCUUAAUACCAAUGCUUAUAGUACUCUUUUGAUCGUAACUCAUUACCGUGUUGAUGUGAAUAAUUGAGGUUUAGAUCUAUCAUGUGGUACUUAGGAUUGAGUAUUUGGGUAUUUGAGAUUUAAGGUCGGAUUAGUUUAGGUGUUGGGAGUGUUUAAAGUCAUGUAUUUAGGUAUCUAGGUUGUCUCAAACCGGUUAAAUGGAUCGGAUAGUGAAACUUAACAAUAUUUACUUGCUUUGUUGCAAUAUUUAAGACUCGUUAUCCGAUCUGAGUACAAAUAGAGGUACAUUGAUUCUAAGAGAGAACAAGUAUUCAAUGAAAACGCAAGUUUAUAUUGUGACUGUGGGUACUUAGAUUGGUGAUGUUUAAAUAAACCGCAGGUUCAAUUUUGAGCACAAGUUUUUGGACGAUGUUUCCCGGAAAAUCUGUAACAGCGUUCAAGGAGUAAACCGUGUGGUUCAAGACAUUACAUCAAAGCCUCCUUCAACGAUCGAAUGGGAAUAAAGUAAAAACAUAAAUUUGAGUCUUUUAUUUAUGGGUGUCUGCAAUUCUUCUACCAUGUAAAAUAGAUUAUCAUCAAACAAUGAUGGUGAAUUAGUGAUGGUGUUUAUCAUUAUUAUUAUUAGUAGACAAUGGUUUUCUGGUGAAAUAAAUGAGUAAUCGGUAGACAAUGGUAUCACACAUUUUGGGCCAGUUGCUUAUGGGUUUUAGCCCGGAUGAUCAAAUUGGUGUGUUUCUAUGCAACAAGCAUUCAUUUCCAGGGAAUAGUCAUAUCAGUUAGGUCUUGAUCACCCUGAGUUCUGGAAAAAUAUAUACAUGAUAUAACCGAAUUUAUACGUUCAAGAUGUAGCUAGGUUAAUCAUUACAUAACCGGCCUUGUAUACAGUAGUUGUGUUGGUACAUUUCUACAAUAUGUUAAUCCUAUUCUUCUCCUUACUUUUCAAUAGCACUAUGGUACAUCUUUUUCUUGCCUUUUUGGCUUUUCUAAGUGCAAUUUGGGAGGGAAGAUAUGAACUAGAGACUGAUCCAUAUUGAAUUUCAUGCUGUGGUUUCGUAACUUUAUGUAGAUAACGAAAAGUAGGUUUAAACUUUAAAGUAGUCUUCUUUCAAUAUUCGGUAUUUAAAUCUAGUUUGUAUCUUCUAAACCUCAGCUUCACCAAUUCAUGGAUCUCCUUAAUGGCCACCUACCAUGCCAACCAAUCUCAUUAAAGAACUACAAAUUUUUUAAGUUUCUUCUAAAUCAAGAAAUUUUCAACACAAUUUUCUAACGCCACAUUAUUCAUUUGCAAUAAAGAUAACCUCUUACUAAAAUGAGAGAGUUACUUUGAUGCUACCAAACGAAAUCCAAAUAUAGUCCAAGUCCUUGUGCUUACAAUUUUCUUCCUUUAUUUUUUGACAUAAAAGUUAAUGUUUAAUUGGUAACACAUGUUGAAGUGAGAUCUCAGUGGCGUUAGAUGCAAUUAUUUGAAAUGACAUUACUUCUUUUCUCUAUAAGGCAGUGUAUUUUGUGAACACUUUUACCAGCUUUUGACCACCAAUUCUAUCUUUAACUUUUCUAAAUAUAUUUUAAAAAUUUUACAUAACUUUUCUUAAAAUACCUAAAGAAUAUUUGAAGUGAGAUUGAAGAUUUAGUAUAUUAAAAUCGGACUGUAGUGUCUCUUUAGAGAUUUUACUUUAGUGUUUUCGGUCGAACUUGAAAUAUUUCGUUACAUUUACUUUUGCAAAUGUUACUUUUAGUUUACUUAUGUUCAACUUUUAUUUACUACUACGAGUGUUUCUCAUUUUGCAUAAUUUAAGUUCACAGUAUAUUAGUAUGCUAAGGAACUCAUAUUUGUUUUUUUUCUUAUUGUCUUCUUAUACGUUAUGAGCCAAAAGGAAUUCGAUUUUACAAGAAUUCUAAAGGAUCUUCCAAAACUUCAAAAUCACAAAACUCGGUUAGAAUCACUGAGUACCGAAAAUUGGAAAACUAAACCGGAGAAAUAGCUAAUUUUGUCAAUCUAAACCGUGAGACCUCAACAUAUCCAUGCAACCCUUUGAAGUGCCUCUUGGAUCAUUCCUGUUGUUGCUAUUUUUGUCCCUUUAUGCUGCAACCAACAUUAAAACUGUAUAUAUCAAAUUUCGGUUUACUCAUAUUCCGGUUAAUUAAUCUAAAUUAAGCUUGGAUUAACGACUGUACCUUGCAGUUAACGGUUAAGCAGAGUAAACCGUCUCCAGUUGACGAUUGUACUGAGUGAGAAUCCAAGUUAAGAUCACUAAUCACAUCCAUUAUCUCAAGUAAUAUUCCUUCUCUCCAAGCACAUCUAAGCUCAACAACCACCUCGUUACCUAAUGAACUGAUCCUUAAGUUAUCGGUUAGACCAGCAUAACCGGUAUCAUUCGGUUCAUCUUCUCCUACAUUCACAUCACUCCCCUUCCUCUUGCUGUUCAUACAAUUCGCCGAUGCUCUUUCUUCCUCAUCCUCCGGUUUCUUCCUCUUCAUCGUCGUCAUUCGCGUCUCUGUAUCCGCAGAUUCUCUACAAGAUUCCAAUUCUUGAACCCUUUUUUGAAGUUCUUGAAGAUACUCAAUUGUAUCAUCAAGAAUCGACACUUUAUCAAUCUGUGAAUCAGAAAGAGAAUCAAGCUUAGUUCCUUCAAAGCAUAAUAUUUUGACAUGUAAAACGUAAAGUUUCUUUCUAUAAUCAAGACGUAUACAUGAACCGUUACUGAAACAGAAUUGUUAGAAUCGGUUACCUUACUAAUUGAAGGAAUGAUUGAUCUCAAUGUCAUGAACCGUUCAUUCAAUUUCUCGCGGCGUUUCUUCUCGGACAACGCAUGGUUCCCGGUUUCCUCUGGUGUGUCUGGUAACAACUCUUCUUUCUUGUUCAUCAGAGGAACUUCGAAGAGUAUCUUCUUUAUCAUCUUCUGCGAUUUCUCUCCCAACGUUUUCACGGAUGAUGAUCGCUUCCACCUUGUGAAGCUAGACUGCUUAUCGAAGUUCUGAAACUGCGGUCCGAGUAUUAGCUGAUGCGUUGUUUUGAAAAUCGUCGAGAUCACCCCUUGGUAAUGAACAUCAUCGUCCAUAUUUACAUGGUUACUCUGUUCUUGAAUCUGACCUAACCGUUGAACCCUACUCUUCCUUGGAUCACAAGCAACUCGCCCGGUUGUUCCAACAAACGUUUGGGAAACGCAAUCGCUAGAGUUUAACGAUUGGUGAAUGCAGUUACUGAGUUCUUCACCAACAAAGUGCCAGCUUUGUACCUGAGACGCACCACCAUCGUUGAUGAACGAAUCAUGAUCCUCUGGUUCUUGCUCAAACCCGCUAGUAGAAGUUGUCGGAAAAGCUUCGGUUCUAAACACCGGAGUGUAUUUAUCGUCGCUUAAAGGAUCAAAAAUUUCUUGAUAGUCUGAUCUUGUCGAUAUUGUAGUAUAAGGAGUAGCUUCAAGGAACAACGUCUUCACGGAUUGUAUCACGUUCAAGUCCUCUUUAAUCUAAAAGAACAAAAAACAAUGAGUAACAAAAGUUUUUGGGUACUUUUAAGAAUAUUUUCAUAGUGUUGGGGCAAUUCUAGAAGACAUAGGCUUACAUGUUCGGUUGUGCCGAUCUCAAGGACUCCUCCAAGAAACGGGAAGCAAACCACUGUUUGAAGCGAAGCACUCUUUAAAGAGCAAAACGCCAAACGGAAAAAAAAAAGGAGCGUUUUAAGUUAUAGCGUUCUUGACUUACUUUAGCGUUUCCAUUUGCAAAAACUUACUUUAGCUAGAAGAGAACGAGUGAAGACUUUGCUAUCGGCGGUUUCAGCGUUACAAAGCCAUAUUGGUUCUCCGUUGGAUAAUGCUCCUCCUGGGAUUCUACCAAAAAGACGGAAAUACCCUUUAUGUUUUUAUCUCAAAUCUUUAUCUUAAUGGAAGAACAACAUUUUUGUACGACUUUUCUUAAAAAGUUAUGAAUAGCAACUGUAUCAUGUAAAUGAAGUAGAAACUUAUUUCCAAAAUUUUUAAAAAUAUAUAUAUAUACUUCAAAACACCACAAACAUAAAACUUUAGCCUGUAAAAAGGAUAAUUACAUUGUUAAUAAUUAAACUCGUCUUUAACAAAAAUAAACUCGUUCAUGUCGGAUUCUGAAGAAGCUCACAUGGAAGACGAGAAUUGAAGGAGACAAGCUAAUAAAGGGUGUUCUUGUCUUUUUUUUGUGAGACAAAAUAAAACAUACCUUCCUCAUAAAAAAAAUUGAUCUUUGGAAUUUGAUAUAUUUCACAACUUCUAAUAAUUGAACUAUAAAUAAAAUAACAUAAAACUAUAUUCUUGAAAAAUAUUUUUAUAUUUAAAGAUAAGUUUACGUGUUUUAAAUGUGAAAUGAAAGGAGUAUACUGUAUUAGAGAUGGAUUACAAGGAAAAGACGGAAUUACCCUUCACCAAUGUUGAAGACGAAAGACAUGCAUACUAAGUAAUACCACUCGGUGUCGGUGAGGUCCUCCGGUGACAGUGCGGCAGCGAAAGCUCGUCUAGUGACCUGAGAGCCACCGGAAGUUGAAGAUUCAGCGAGGGAGAGAGAUUCAUAAAGCUCUCUAAGCUGCUCACUUCUCUCAAGACCUAACUGGUCAACUUUGACUUCUGCUGCUUGAAUCGUCUUCCUUGUCUUAAUGUCUCCAUUGUAAUAUCCAUCUCCCCACUCCAACACUCUUCGUUCGGAGAAAACAAAAAUAAGCAAGAAAAAUUGGAUUAAUCGAGAAAACAGAACAAAAAUCGAAAUCUUGAAGCAAGGAUAAAGUUUUAUCUGAGUUUUGGAUUAAAAUCAAGAAUGUCUCAAAGAAAAAAGUUUAUUUUCAAGAAAAGUUAAGUUUAAGGAUAAAGAUUUGGAGAUUGUACCCUGGUUGAGAAGCAGAGACAGACCAGAAGAUUCCAUAACUCCAUUGAAUGUUUCGAACUGAAACUGCGAGCUGUUUCUUUAGAUUUUCCGGCACCGUUCUGUUUUCUCCGGUUGCCAUUGUUUCUUCAUCCCCAUGUAACAAACAAAGAUCAGAUAUUUUGUCAACAACAAAACUUUGUUGUCUUUGAAUAAAUCAGAAGACAAACAGAAAAAAAUUAAAGCAGAAGUGAUUUAAAGGUUAUGACUAGUCAUGAGUUAGUGAUUUUUACAUGACAUUGGUUUGGUUUCCUGAGGAAGAAGAAGACAACAAAACCCAGAAUAUAUAUUUAUUUUUUAAAACUUCUAUAAUGGGAAAAAAGAUUAAAUAUUUGUGACUUUGAAGUUACUAUUUGUUGUGGUUGGAUUGAGCUUUGAGUCGAGAGAAAAAGGACGGUGUCCGAAUCUCUUUAUGGAUACUUAUUUAGGUGUGUGUACACUGUAUAUUAUCACAAAACACUGAAUUUUACGAGGAAUUUAAAAUAUAUAUAUAUAUAUAUAUAAUAAGUGGUAAAAAAACAAAAGUAGUGUGUCUAUUAAGACCAUCAGCAGUGACAAAUGUGUUUGUGUGGGUGUAAGUAUUUUUUUAGUAUUAUAAUUUAAAGCAAAAGAGAAAAGAGAAAGAGAAAGAAAAAGGGAGAUAGAGAGAAAAAGUGUUACACCCGAGUGUAAAUUUACACCCGGAUGUGAAAAAAGAGACAAUUUUUUUGUUUUUUUAAUACCUACACCCCAAGACUCACACCCACCUGCUUAUGCCACUGCUGCUCUAACGCUCUUGAAUACGAUGUUCCAAGCACCACUCUCUUUUUGGAAAUUUAUUUUUGUUAAAGAAAGAUAUUUUUUCUAUCUAUAUAUACAUUUUUGGAUCACAAUUAGCAAAUAAAUCCUGAAGUUGAGAAGUAUUUACAAUGGCAUGCCAUUAGCAUUAAUUAUUUAGAUUUGUUUUAUUAAGUAAAGAUUUUUAAAUGAAAUUCAUUUCUCAUAUAUUUAGCAAAAGUCUCUACAAAAUCUUUCAUGAAGUAAAGAUUUUGAAAUCAAAUAAGUUUUCAACAAUUUACCAAAAAUCUCUACACAAUCUUUUUAAAAAUCUCGACUUAGUUAACUUCUGAUUUUUAUCUGCAAAAAAAAAAAAUUAAUAGUAACGAAUGAUGUAAAAAUCGGGAAUGUUGAUACUUGAUACUACAAUUUCUUCUACUUCUUUUUUUUUUUUCAUAUAAUGAAAAUUAUUUUUUAGGGAUAUUUUCUCAAAACCUCUAAAUACAACAAAGGGUUUCAAAAGAUAGCUUCUCUUUUGGCGGGUCGACACGCAAACCCGCAACUCUCUACGGGCUUAUCCGCAUGAACCUGAGACCCGUAGUAGAUAAAAAUAUUAUUCAAAAAAAAAUAACAAAUGAUGUUUAAUUUUACGGAACGGGGUUAUAUGGUGUAACGGGUUUAGAUCGAUAUUAAUAUUAAACAAUAUACUUUGGAUGAAAUCUUAGAAUUAAAAAUCAAAAUUUAAUUAUAAAAUCAGAAACACUAAACAAAAUAAACAAUAUUAACAAAACAAAUACAACUUAAAAUUUUGUUAAAUAAUUUUUUAGUUAUAAAAAAUCGAUCCGCGGUGUACCGCGGGAUAAAAUCUAGUCAAUGAUAUGUUUUCUAUCUUUUUUCCGUAACUAAUAAAUUAUGGGUCUUUAGACUUAAGUCCACAAUUUUCUUGGCUAUCGAAUUAAAAUAAGUAAAUUAGUAUUUUUUUCGUUGCCAAAUUUAACAUGAUAACAAUAUUUGAAGAAGUUCAUAAUUUUGUAUUCGAUAUGAUUCGGCGAAUAACUAAUCAAUCAGGUGAAGUGAGAAAAUUAUUCAAUUUAGUUUUCCCAAGUAUGCAAAUUAAAUUGCAAAAAUAUGUUAUACAGCUCAAGUCUCAAAACCUAAUUUCUCAUUCGAACUUUUAAGUUUUGACUAUUUUAUUUUUAAUGGAUUUGCUAUGUGAACAAGCACGACAAGGCGUAUGAGUCCUACAUUUUUAAAACUAAACACCCCUUAAAAAUAUGGUGUAUAGUCGAAAUCAAUUAAUUGAUUUAUUUGUAUUCAACAGUACACUCUAUAGUUUGGAAAGGGGAAAUCGGCUUUUUCAUACCCCCACAAUUGUUUUAUGUUAAAUUUAUACCUAAACUAGAUCGUUGUGCUAAAACAUACAUCUAGUAAUAAAAUAUAUGAAUUUCAUACCUACAUUUUAUGUUUUGUGCUAAAUCAUGCAUACGCUCUAAAUCUUGACUACGUGUAAUCCACGUGUGCAUGUACGUGGCUUUGGUGUAAGGAAAUUGGUUUUUUCAUACCUCCACAAAACCAAUAUGUGAAAUUCAUACAUGAAUUUUAUACUAUUGUGCUAAAACAUAUCCUAAAUAACCAAAAAUUUAAAUUUAAUAUAAAUCGAAAACUCAAACCGGAACCGACCCGAAAAACUUGGUUCGGAUCGUUAAUGGAUAUAACCAAAUUACCCUAUUGUGUCUUAUAUAUGUCUAUUUGUGGAUAUCGGUUCGGGUCUGGAUAUUAUCUGAUACCCGAAUGGGUAUCUAAAUAUCCAAAAUAUUUGUACUCAAAACCCGAACAUAUAAACGGUUAACGAAAACUACUUGGACAAGUAUCCGAAUACCCGAUAUAUUUAUAUAUUUUUGAGUAUUAUGUAUCCGAUUAUGCCCAAACUCUAGCAAAAUACUUGAAAUUUAACUCAAAUCUCCGAAAAACAAACAAAAUACUUUAAAUGUUUGAUUACAUAGGGUAUAUUACAAAUCCACGUAGAUGCACACGUGGAUGCCACGUAAUCGACAUUAAGGUCGUAAGCAUGAUUUUGCACAAAACAUAAAGUGUAAGUAUGAAAUUCAAAUGUUUCAUUAGUGGAGGUAUGUUUUAGCACAACUGUUGUAUAAAUUUAACAUAGUGUAAUUUAUCAUUCAUUGAAAUUUUGACCCAAAAAAAACAUUCAUAGAAAUAACACUUGUCAAAUCCAACCAAACCAAUUUGCCACCCACAUAAGCAAUGGUUUAUAUUGUUACUGGUCAAAUAUAUACUAUGUAGGAAGAUUUACUUAUUUUUAGAUAGAACAAAUUAAAUCCUAAUGGUGAAACACGAAGAAAGACAUGAAAUUAAUGUUAUGCCUCGAGGAGCUACCCUAUACAGACAGACAAGCUUCUAGUAUUGACUAAAAUACUUUGCAUGGUUUAACUAAAAACAAUAUACUACUAGUAUAUAUGUUCAUUGAGUAUAUAUAUAUAUAUAUAUAUAUAUAUAUAUAUAUUCUACAUUGUUUUCGAAUCUUCGGAAAUACCAUAGAACAUUUGUAUAUAAUUCAAAUAAUUGCUAGUAAUUAAUUUUCCAUGCACCUUCAUUUUAAUUAAUCGCAACCUCGUAAAUUAUUUGUAUUAAAGAUGCGUACACGAGUUAAUUAUAUAUGGAGUCAAACAAUAAGGUUAUCAAGGACAAGUGAAUUUGGGAUCUAAAGAUAAUGGAAGGGUUUAGUAUUCUUUUAUUCUUCUCCUGACUUCUAAAGGUAAGGGAUUAAUAACGGGUCUAGCUAUGUAACCUAUGUUGAUCAAAAUCACGAAAAAAUGAUAUUUAAACUGAGAUGAUUAAUAAAGAAGAAACCAAGAGUCAUUAUUAUCAUAAGCUAUGUGCAUGUCCUAAAUUAAAUCUUCGCAUCUCCCAAUAUUAUCACCCCUAACUAGGACUACUUGUCGUGUGUGUACGUUGAAAAACGGAGUAAGGCAUUGUUUAUUUCAUGUAUUUAUUGUAUAAUUUUUUAUUUUUUUGUGCAACAUAUUUAUUGUAUGAUUAUGAUGCAUUAAGACUUUUAACAAAAAAAAAAAAAAAUGAUGCAUUAAGACAUUGUUUAUGCGUCAUAUAUUUAAGAUAAACAUUGCAUUGUUUAUAUUUUAGUUACGGUGUUUCCGAGCGGCCAAGACCCAAGAAACACUCUUUUCUUGGAAUUUUUUUGUGUUAUGAAUAGUCUAUUUAUAUAUAGAUAUCACAUAUUCACAUUCAUCAAUAUUUGUUCUUAAACUUGCAAAACACUAGCAAAAUAAUAGAACAAAUUUAUAGUUUUUUAAAUCAUAAAUUAGAAAUUCAUAAAAAUCUUAACGUCUGUGUUUUCAAUAAUUUCCUAAAUAGUUUUUCUUUGCUGAUUUAUUUAUUUCGUUAAUAUCCUAAAAAAAAUAUGCAUCUAAGUUUUAUUUGAACACUGUCAACACACGCAAACAUUAGAUUCUGUAGCCUAUAGUCUCCGCUCAAAAAGGAUCAUUUUGACUUUUGCUUAGCAUAUAGAAUUUGACUAUAAAAUGUACGAAAAUACUACAAAUUCUGGACAGUACUUUUUAUGCCUUAAACAAAAAAAAAACAACUAAUUCUUAGCAAAAAAAAAAAAAAAACUAAUUAAAUAUACGCUUUAUUUUGUUACACAUAUUAACCAUUAACUAGUACAAGUAAUAAAAUUUUCGUUGUAAUAUUUAACAAGGCGCAGAUGAUGUAUUGUUUUAUCGAGACUGAAAAUACAAAUAAAUUAUUCACACAUUCGAAAUAAAAUAAAAAUAUUGAAAAAAAUAAAAUGAAAGAGAUGCUCGCAUUAAUUGAAUGGAACAGAGUCUACUGUUGAUUAAAAAAGAACGAUCGAACAGUCCAUUUUUUGGGGUCCAGUUUAUUUAAUUUAGCAUUAAUAACUUUGUCAGCGCGAGCCACUCUCUAUGAUUUUGAUUCCAUCAUAAAUUAUAAAACCAACCAAAAUUCAUAUCAAAAUUAAUUCCUUUAACCCAUUACUAAGCUUUGCUUGUAAAUAUAUGAGACCUGUAUAUAUUCGAUUUAUUGAAAGUGUCUAAGAAUUCAGAUUCACUUUGAAUAUUACCUUUCACGUAAUGCAUGUAUGUAGGAUCUUCUGUCAUUGUCUUAUAUAUUGUCUUUUUGCAUCAUAAAAAUAGAUUGACUUUUUACAUAUACGCACAUAAAUAAUAGAUUUCCAUUAUUUGAAUUCACAUCUUACAUAUAUAUAUACGUGUUUAAGUUAGAUUAUAAUUCAGUAGUUUCGGAUUUUUUAGCUAUGUUCCAUCAACCAAUCAGUUUGAUUUGGUUAGAUAAAAUUAACAAAAAAAAACACAAGAAAAUUAUCAAAGUAUGAAAAUGUAAGCACAAAUGUAAUUAAAAUUCGUUUUUACGUUUUAAACAGUCAAAAAGUAACUAAAAUACAACUUGUUCGUUAACAAAUGGUUUUUGCAUGAGAGAUAUAUGCAAACUAUUUAAUUAACUUAAUUUUUUUCCAUUAGAAUUAAAUUUUUAAUUAUUAGGACAUUGAAAUUAAAUUCCGUUAAAAUUAUUGACCACGUGUAUGGUCAUAAAAAAUUCUGAAUUCAUGAUUCGAUCAAUAUUACGACCUACUACAUACGAUAUGGUGUAAUUAACCACAUUCUCUUGCUAUUUAUCACAUUAAAAGUUAUAUAAUUUAUUCAUUAUUUACUCCACCACUAUUUUCCACGUUCUAUGGAUGAUCAUAGAUUCAUAGUGGAGCCACGCAUGAACAUGGCAAAAAUAGAAAUAUGCACAUGGCCAUAUAUACAUUAUCGACGUAUGUGUCAUUCAGGCCAAUCCAACUUUGUUGUGGUUCUUUCGUCCUCCUUUGACUUAAUUUAUUGACAAAAAGAAAUUACAUAUGAUUUAGGAUAAAUCAUAUGUUAUCCUUAAUCUUAAAUCAUUAACUAGCAAAAUUUUACUCAAUUUUAAUCAUAAAAGCAACUUUAUAAGAUAAUUAACACAUAUUUUCCAAUGAACAGUCCACAUAUAUAUUACUUAUGGUGGAGUUCGAUGUUUUUUUUUUUUUUUUUGACAUCUUUGAAUCGAUAAGGCCCGAUCUAUAGCCAAUCCUUACUAUGCGGGGUAACGCAACUUACUGGAGUCGAACUCCGUGGAGAAGGCGGAGUCAAGUGGACGUAACCACUUGACUAAAAGCACAUCCUCGUGGAGUUCGAUGUUUAAUGUAAUUAAAAUAAAAAUAUCGAUCAUAAUUAUAUAUGAUAAAAUUUUGAAAUCCAACAUCUGUAAACUAUAAUGCAUUAAAUAGAUAAUAUUUAUCUGAAUAGACUAGAUAAGAUUAGGCAUACUAGCUGAAAUGCUGGUAAGAUGGUGAAAAGGUUGAUGGAUAUCCGAUCCAGUUGGUCCGGGCCUUCGAUAUUUGGGCUUAAAUGGGCCGAAACUAAAUUGGGUCGAAUAUAAAAAGUUGAAAUAUCUCCAAACAUAAUUUUGGAUGGGAAAAAGCGGGAAGUCGAGAGAGUACCUUAUUUAUAAUUUUCUAUAACGAGGGUAGGGCCCACCAAGACCAUAUUAGCGUAAAGCAAAAUCAAACAAUUAGGAAAAAAACAUUUUUUCGAAAUUCGAACCGUAAUUAGCCUUUGUUUUUCUCGGAAUCUAAAAGGAAAAAAAAAAUAGAGAGAAAAAAAAGGAGGAACAGUGAGCAAAAUCGUGCGACUGGGAAAAUUUUCGAAUUUUUCUUCUCUUCCGGCGAGGGAUUCAAACUUCCGCCUCCAAUUUCUCGCCGUGAAUCUGAGUUUUCUUCGUGGAAUUUCAAUAAAAUCAGUCGUCAUUCUCCGGCUUCUUGACUCUCGAGAGGUUUAUCUACAAGCUUCUUCUCCUCAUGGCCUUUUAGGUUCGUAUCGUUUAUUUUUUUUGCCGUCGUCUAUGUGUUACAAAAGCGUAGAUGGUUUCUUAGGGUUUUUUUACUGGAUCUGCGUAAUUUUGGUGGAAUUUAAGCUGAAUGUAUGGGUUGAUUUGGUCGACUUUUUGGUUAUUUGCUAAGCGAGAUGUUGAAAUGUGGGAACAAACGACAUCAUUGUUGAAGCAAUUUUGGGCUGUUUGUCUCUCUAAUUGGAGGACUAGUCUUAUCUGAAAUUGAAAGCAUUUGAUUGGCAUUUUAUCAUAGGAGGGUUUGGUGUCGAAUGAUGAAGUAAGGUCUUUCAUGAUUUACCAUGGAUUAAGAAGUGUAUGUGAAGACAUUUAAUACUGAUGCUUACUUUUGUUAUUGGCUUACUGCUUCAUUUGCUUUAGGGUCUUCUCACUACUAUAAUUCUGGGAAUCGCGUAACCUCUGAGUUGAAAUGAGCAGUCAUCUGGGACAGGACGCCAAUAUGAAUGGGGUCUAUGUUCGAUCAGAUGUGUCUAGCAUGCUGAGUUUUGACGGAUCAGAUAGUCGUGAAAGCGAUGAUAGUAAGAAAGGUAAUCUUUUCAAACGCUAAUUCAUAGAAAUCCUCUAAUUUUAUCUUAAGAUUGAAACAAGUUUUUGGAAACAGUUGUCUUUCAGAACUUUAGAGUUAUGACAGAAUUAUACAAGCGAAUAUGGAAAAGUAUGAUUGAUUAUCUUGAAUGAGUCGUUUCUCUUGCUUGAUAUGGUUUGUAAUAUUCCAACUGAGCUUUAGCAGAAAUGAUUGCCUCUCAUAUUAGGUGUAGGGGGAAAUGGGAUGAUGUUUUUUGUCCUCACUAUUUGUCUAUUUCUUCUUAAUUUCGCCCACAGGUCAUCAGAGUUUGGUGGAGUGGUUAAAUGAGACACUUCCUUAUCUGAAGUUACCAUGGGAAGCUUCAGAGGACGAACUGAGAGCAUGCUUGAGGGAUGGAACGGUCUUGUGUAGCCUUUUAAAUCAGCUUAGUCCUGGGUCAAUGAGAAUGGUACUUGUGAAUUUUCAUGACCAUUUGGCUUAUAUAUCUUUUGUUUUAAAAGCCUUUAGUUAUGUGUCAUUUUUCACUUACUUAUCUGCUGCUAGACUCACCCUCUUUGGUUAUUCUAUAGGGAGGCAGCUUUGAGCCUGCUAGUGUAAAAAUUGAGCGGUUUCUGACUGCUAUGGAUGAAAUGGCCCUGCCUAGGUUCGAAGUUUCAGACAUAGAACAGGUUUGUUAUGUUUCAUGGAUAUGAUUCUUCGUUUCUGUGGAAAAAAUUGAUUUCUUAAAUAUGGAAAGACAUGUUGGUUUAUAUAGAAUUAUCCCAUGUCAUAUAGAUAAAGUGGUUCUAGGGUUGCCACUUUUGCUUUAAUGACUCGAACCAAUUCAGUGUAGGUAUAUAUUUAUGUUAAAAUCAGCCUCGUUUUAGAUACUUCUGGCCUUCUGGGUGCAACACUUUUUCUAAUCAUGGCUAUUUUCUGAUUUGCUAUUUUGAUGAUACGAUUGCAUAUCUUUUCUUCUCUCUGUCUUUUUUUGUAUUUCUCUAUUGAGUUAUGACUCCUAAUAAAAAGUAAAAAGCAGGGAGAUAUGGUGCCAGUUUUACAGUCCCUUAAGGCGCUUAAAGCAAGUUUUUCCGAUGGUAGUUAUGAUAAGAACUCCCUAGCUGCAAGGAGGAGGUGGAGCUUGCCAGAGGACCACUCAGAUUCAAGAGGAGAUGACCGCAACUUUACUGAUGGAUUCCAGUCGAAGGAAGGAUCUGAGAUUGAUAUAUCUGAUGCUAAAAUUUCGGAAUUACUUAAAUCAAACAGUUUACGAGUAAAGUUUUCUAACAUAAUUUUAGUCAAUUGUGUCCAACCUCUCAGCUAUUGCCUCGGUUUCUGAUUCAAAUGGCAUUUCCUUGGCAGAAUGCUCCUACUAGGUCACUGUUUGACAUGCUGGACAAGCUUCUAGAUAAGAGUAUGACGAAGAUGAAUGGACAUGUGUCUCAUGUAAGCCAAAGACGGAGCUACUCAUAGCACCCUUCUCUUGAUUCAUGUUUUCUGGGUUUGCCUAGAUUUUCAUUCCUUGGUUCAUGGAAUAUCACUUCUUAUUCUCCAUCAUGUUUCUCACUGUUUUCGUGUGUUGUUCAGGCUAUGGCAUCUCUCUUGAGCGCACUUGUGCAAGUGAUUGAACAGAGAAUCUCAAAUCAAGCUGAUAACCUAAAGAAUGUAAGAUUACCAAAUUCCUUUCUUCCUUGAUUUUUCCCGUAAUGUAUAUCAUCCUUCUGACUAAGUCAUGAAAUAUGCUUAUGGAAUGGGUGCAGCAAAAUAUACUCUUUCGGGUACGUGAAGAAAAAUACAGGUCAAGAAUAAAGGUCUUAGAAACCUUGGCAGCUGGGACAACACAGGAAAACGAGGUACUAUUGUCUCUGGUUCCAAUGUUUCUCUUCAUUUUAUUUCUGUUUCGCUUACGGAAUACUGAUUGGUAUUGCUAUUUUUUGUUGUAGAUUGUUACGAACUGUAUGGAGCAUAUAAAGGUAAUUGAUAUUAAUAUACAUCUCCUUCAUACAUAUUUCGCUUUUAGUUUUGUUCUUGCAUCUGGAAAAGUUAGUUUACAUUAAGCACAAUAGUUUUGUGCAUAUUCCCUGUGGAAUAUAACCUCUAAACCAAUCCUAGAUUUCGAUAAAGGUUCAGUCUGAGAGAUCCUAUCAUAAAACUAUUGUGUGUACGCCUCGGACUUAAUAACGCGACUUCAUACAUCAUUUUUCAUUUGGAUUGUGCAUUAGAUUUAUUUAACACAGAUCUUUGCGGUUGUGCUCUGUAGAUUUAUUUAAUCGCAACCUCGUAAAUUAUUUGUAUUAAAGAUGCGUACACGAGUUAAUUAUAUAUGGAGUCAAACAAUAAGGUUAUCAAGGACAAGUGAAUUUGGGAUCUAAAGAUAAUGGAAGGGUUUAGUAUUCUUUUAUUCUUCUCCUGACUUCUAAAGGUAAGGGAUUAAUAACGGGUCUAGCUAUGUAACCUAUGUUGAUCAAAAUCACGAAAAAAUGAUAUUUAAACUGAGAUGAUUAAUAAAGAAGAAACCAAGAGUCAUUAUUAUCAUAAGCUAUGUGCAUGUCCUAAAUUAAAUCUUCGCAUCUCCCAAUAUUAUCACCCCUAACUAGGACUACUUGUCGUGUGUGUACGUUGAAAAACGGAGUAAGACAUUGUUUAUUUCAUGUAUUUAUUGUAUAAUUUUUUAUUUUUUUGUGCAACAUAUUUAUUGUAUGAUUAUGAUGCAUUAAGACUUUUAACAAAAAAAAAAAAAAUGAUGCAUUAAGACAUUGUUUAUGCGUCAUAUAUUUAAGAUAAACAUUGCAUUGUUUAUAUUUUAGUUACGGUGUUUCCGAGCGGCCAAGACCCAAGAAACACUCUUUUCUUGGAAUUUUUUUGUGUUAUGAAUAGUCUAUUUAUAUAUAGAUAUCACAUAUUCACAUUCAUCAAUAUUUGUUCUUAAACUUGCAAAACACUAGCAAAAUAAUAGAACAAAUUUAUAGUUUUUUAAAUCAUAAAUUAGAAAUUCAUAAAAAUCUUAACGUCUGUGUUUUCAAUAAUUUCCUAAAUAGUUUUUCUUUGCUGAUUUAUUUAUUUCGUUACUAUCCUAAAAAAAAUAUGCAUCUAAGUUUUAUUUGAACACUGUCAACACACGCAAACAUUAGAUUCUGUAGCCUAUAGUCUCCGCUUAAAAAGGAUCAUUUUGACUUUUGCUUAGCAUAUAGAAUUUGACUAUAAAAUGUACGAAAAUACUACAAAUUCUGGACAGUACUUUUUAUGCCUUAAACAAAAAAAAAACAACUAAUUCUUAGCAAAAAAAAAAAAAAAAAACUAAUUAAAUAUACGCUUUAUUUUGUUACACAUAUUAACCAUUAACUAGUACAAGUAAUAAAAUUUUCGUUGUAAUAUUUAACAAGGCGCAGAUGAUGUAUUGUUUUAUCGAGACUGAAAAUACAAAUAAAUUAUUCACACAUUCGAAAUAAAAUAAAAAUAUUGAAAAAAAUAAAAUGAAAGAGAUGCUCGCAUUAAUUGAAUGGAACAGAGUCUACUGUUGAUUAAAAAAGAACGAUCGAACAGUCCAUUUUUUGGGGUCCAGUUUAUUUAAUUUAGCAUUAAUAACUUUGUCAGCGCGAGCCACUCUCUAUGAUUUUGAUUCCAUCAUAAAUUAUAAAACCAACCAAAAUUCAUAUCAAAAUUAAUUCCUUUAACCCAUUACUAAGCUUUGCUUGUAAAUAUAUGAGACCUGUAUAUAUUCGAUUUAUUGAAAGUGUCUAAGAAUUCAGAUUCACUUUGAAUAUUACCUUUCACGUAAUGCAUGUAUGUAGGAUCUUCUGUCAUUGUCUUAUAUAUUGUCUUUUUGCAUCAUAAAAAUAGAUUGACUUUUUACAUAUACGCACAUAAAUAAUAGAUUUCCAUUAUUUGAAUUCACAUCUUACAUAUAUAUAUACGUGUUUAAGUUAGAUUAUAAUUCAGUAGUUUCGGAUUUUUUAGCUAUGUUCCAUCAACCAAUCAGUUUGAUUUGGUUAGAUAAAAUUAACAAAAAAAAACACAAGAAAAUUAUCAAAGUAUGAAAAUGUAAGCACAAAUGUAAUUAAAAUUCGUUUUUACGUUUUAAACAGUCAAAAAGUAACUAAAAUACAACUUGUUCGUUAACAAAUGGUUUUUGCAUGAGAGAUAUAUGCAAACUAUUUAAUUAACUUAAUUUUUUUCCAUUAGAAUUAAAUUUUUAAUUAUUAGGACAUUGAAAUUAAAUUCCGUUAAAAUUAUUGACCACGUGUAUGGUCAUAAAAAAUUCUGAAUUCAUGAUUCGAUCAAUAUUACGACCUACUACAUACGAUAUGGUGUAAUUAACCACAUUCUCUUGCUAUUUAUCACAUUAAAAGUUAUAUAAUUUAUUCAUUAUUUACUCCACCACUAUUUUCCACGUUCUAUGGAUGAUCAUAGAUUCAUAGUGGAGCCACGCAUGAACAUGGCAAAAAUAGAAAUAUGCACAUGGCCAUAUAUACAUUAUCGACGUAUGUGUCAUUCAGGCCAAUCCAACUUUGUUGUGGUUCUUUCGUCCUCCUUUGACUUAAUUUAUUGACAAAAAGAAAUUACAUAUGAUUUAGGAUAAAUCAUAUGUUAUCCUUAAUCUUAAAUCAUUAACUAGCAAAAUUUUACUCAAUUUUAAUCAUAAAAGCAACUUUAUAAGAUAAUUAACACAUAUUUUCCAAUGAACAGUCCACAUAUAUAUUACUUAUGGUGGAGUUCGAUGUUUUUUUUUUUUUUUUUGACAUCUUUGAAUCGAUAAGGCCCGAUCUAUAGCCAAUCCUUACUAUGCGGGGUAACGCAACUUACUGGAGUCGAACUCCGUGGAGAAGGCGGAGUCAAGUGGACGUAACCACUUGACUAAAAGCACAUCCUCGUGGAGUUCGAUGUUUAAUGUAAUUAAAAUAAAAAUAUCGAUCAUAAUUAUAUAUGAUAAAAUUUUGAAAUCCAACAUCUGUAAACUAUAAUGCAUUAAAUAGAUAAUAUUUAUCUGAAUAGACUAGAUAAGAUUAGGCAUACUAGCUGAAAUGCUGGUAAGAUGGUGAAAAGGUUGAUGGAUAUCCGAUCCAGUUGGUCCGGGCCUUCGAUAUUUGGGCUUAAAUGGGCCGAAACUAAAUUGGGUCGAAUAUAAAAAGUUGAAAUAUCUCCAAACAUAAUUUUGGAUGGGAAAAAGCGGGAAGUCGAGAGAGUACCUUAUUUAUAAUUUUCUAUAACGAGGGUAGGGCCCACCAAGACCAUAUUAGCGUAAAGCAAAAUCAAACAAUUAGGAAAAAAACAUUUUUUCGAAAUUCGAACCGUAAUUAGCCUUUGUUUUUCUCGGAAUCUAAAAGGAAAAAAAAAAUAGAGAGAAAAAAAAGGAGGAACAGUGAGCAAAAUCGUGCGACUGGGAAAAUUUUCGAAUUUUUCUUCUCUUCCGGCGAGGGAUUCAAACUUCCGCCUCCAAUUUCUCGCCGUGAAUCUGAGUUUUCUUCGUGGAAUUUCAAUAAAAUCAGUCGUCAUUCUCCGGCUUCUUGACUCUCGAGAGGUUUAUCUACAAGCUUCUUCUCCUCAUGGCCUUUUAGGUUCGUAUCGUUUAUUUUUUUUGCCGUCGUCUAUGUGUUACAAAAGCGUAGAUGGUUUCUUAGGGUUUUUUUACUGGAUCUGCGUAAUUUUGGUGGAAUUUAAGCUGAAUGUAUGGGUUGAUUUGGUCGACUUUUUGGUUAUUUGCUAAGCGAGAUGUUGAAAUGUGGGAACAAACGACAUCAUUGUUGAAGCAAUUUUGGGCUGUUUGUCUCUCUAAUUGGAGGACUAGUCUUAUCUGAAAUUGAAAGCAUUUGAUUGGCAUUUUAUCAUAGGAGGGUUUGGUGUCGAAUGAUGAAGUAAGGUCUUUCAUGAUUUACCAUGGAUUAAGAAGUGUAUGUGAAGACAUUUAAUACUGAUGCUUACUUUUGUUAUUGGCUUACUGCUUCAUUUGCUUUAGGGUCUUCUCACUACUAUAAUUCUGGGAAUCGCGUAACCUCUGAGUUGAAAUGAGCAGUCAUCUGGGACAGGACGCCAAUAUGAAUGGGGUCUAUGUUCGAUCAGAUGUGUCUAGCAUGCUGAGUUUUGACGGAUCAGAUAGUCGUGAAAGCGAUGAUAGUAAGAAAGGUAAUCUUUUCAAACGCUAAUUCAUAGAAAUCCUCUAAUUUUAUCUUAAGAUUGAAACAAGUUUUUGGAAACAGUUGUCUUUCAGAACUUUAGAGUUAUGACAGAAUUAUACAAGCGAAUAUGGAAAAGUAUGAUUGAUUAUCUUGAAUGAGUCGUUUCUCUUGCUUGAUAUGGUUUGUAAUAUUCCAACUGAGCUUUAGCAGAAAUGAUUGCCUCUCAUAUUAGGUGUAGGGGGAAAUGGGAUGAUGUUUUUUGUCCUCACUAUUUGUCUAUUUCUUCUUAAUUUCGCCCACAGGUCAUCAGAGUUUGGUGGAGUGGUUAAAUGAGACACUUCCUUAUCUGAAGUUACCAUGGGAAGCUUCAGAGGACGAACUGAGAGCAUGCUUGAGGGAUGGAACGGUCUUGUGUAGCCUUUUAAAUCAGCUUAGUCCUGGGUCAAUGAGAAUGGUACUUGUGAAUUUUCAUGACCAUUUGGCUUAUAUAUCUUUUGUUUUAAAAGCCUUUAGUUAUGUGUCAUUUUUCACUUACUUAUCUGCUGCUAGACUCACCCUCUUUGGUUAUUCUAUAGGGAGGCAGCUUUGAGCCUGCUAGUGUAAAAAUUGAGCGGUUUCUGACUGCUAUGGAUGAAAUGGCCCUGCCUAGGUUCGAAGUUUCAGACAUAGAACAGGUUUGUUAUGUUUCAUGGAUAUGAUUCUUCGUUUCUGUGGAAAAAAUUGAUUUCUUAAAUAUGGAAAGACAUGUUGGUUUAUAUAGAAUUAUCCCAUGUCAUAUAGAUAAAGUGGUUCUAGGGUUGCCACUUUUGCUUUAAUGACUCGAACCAAUUCAGUGUAGGUAUAUAUUUAUGUUAAAAUCAGCCUCGUUUUAGAUACUUCUGGCCUUCUGGGUGCAACACUUUUUCUAAUCAUGGCUAUUUUCUGAUUUGCUAUUUUGAUGAUACGAUUGCAUAUCUUUUCUUCUCUCUGUCUUUUUUUGUAUUUCUCUAUUGAGUUAUGACUCCUAAUAAAAAGUAAAAAGCAGGGAGAUAUGGUGCCAGUUUUACAGUCCCUUAAGGCGCUUAAAGCAAGUUUUUCCGAUGGUAGUUAUGAUAAGAACUCCCUAGCUGCAAGGAGGAGGUGGAGCUUGCCAGAGGACCACUCAGAUUCAAGAGGAGAUGACCGCAACUUUACUGAUGGAUUCCAGUCGAAGGAAGGAUCUGAGAUUGAUAUAUCUGAUGCUAAAAUUUCGGAAUUACUUAAAUCAAACAGUUUACGAGUAAAGUUUUCUAACAUAAUUUUAGUCAAUUGUGUCCAACCUCUCAGCUAUUGCCUCGGUUUCUGAUUCAAAUGGCAUUUCCUUGGCAGAAUGCUCCUACUAGGUCACUGUUUGACAUGCUGGACAAGCUUCUAGAUAAGAGUAUGACGAAGAUGAAUGGACAUGUGUCUCAUGUAAGCCAAAGACGGAGCUACUCAUAGCACCCUUCUCUUGAUUCAUGUUUUCUGGGUUUGCCUAGAUUUUCAUUCCUUGGUUCAUGGAAUAUCACUUCUUAUUCUCCAUCAUGUUUCUCACUGUUUUCGUGUGUUGUUCAGGCUAUGGCAUCUCUCUUGAGCGCACUUGUGCAAGUGAUUGAACAGAGAAUCUCAAAUCAAGCUGAUAACCUAAAGAAUGUAAGAUUACCAAAUUCCUUUCUUCCUUGAUUUUUCCCGUAAUGUAUAUCAUCCUUCUGACUAAGUCAUGAAAUAUGCUUAUGGAAUGGGUGCAGCAAAAUAUACUCUUUCGGGUACGUGAAGAAAAAUACAGGUCAAGAAUAAAGGUCUUAGAAACCUUGGCAGCUGGGACAACACAGGAAAACGAGGUACUAUUGUCUCUGGUUCCAAUGUUUCUCUUCAUUUUAUUUCUGUUUCGCUUACGGAAUACUGAUUGGUAUUGCUAUUUUUUGUUGUAGAUUGUUACGAACUGUAUGGAGCAUAUAAAGGUAAUUGAUAUUAAUAUACAUCUCCUUCAUACAUAUUUCGCUUUUAGUUUUGUUCUUGCAUCUGGAAAAGUUAGUUUACAUUAAGCACAAUAGUUUUGUGCAUAUUACCUGUGGAAUAUAACCUCUAAACCAAUCCUAGAUUUCGAUAAAGGUUCAGUCUGAGAGAUCCUAUCAUAAAACUAUUGUGUGUACGCCUCGGACUUAAUAACGCGACUUCAUACAUCAUUUUUCAUUUGGAUUGUGCAUUAGAUUUAUUUAACACAGAUCUUUGCGGUUGUGCUCUGUAGCUUGAGAAAAACAGAAUAGAAGAGAGAGAAAGAUCAGAAGAAAAAGAUGUGGUGAGACUGAGAAAGGAAAAAGAGCGCAGUGAUGCUGAGAUUCGCAAGCUGAAGCAGGAACUCAAAGUAGUGAAAGAAACACAUGAAAACCAAUGCUUGGAUUUAGAAGCAAAAGCACAAAAAACUAGAGACGAGUUGGAGAAGAAGUUAAAAGAUGCAGAGUUCCAUGCUGUAGAUUCAAGUAGGAAGGUGAAAGAGUUUGAGAAGUUGUGCCAAUCUAAAUCUCAAAGAUGGGAGAAAAAAGAGUGCAUCUACCAGAACUUCAUAGACAACCAUUCUGGAGCCUUGCAGGUUGACUUUAUAGAUAGUACUGUAAACGUUGGCUACCUAUGGUAGUUAUUUAAAUGAUAUAGAAUCUGUGAAUUAUGCAGGAGUUGAAUGCUACUUCGUUGUCUAUAAAACAUGAAGUCUUAAGGACACAGAGGAAAUACUUUGAGGAUCUAAAUUACUACGGUAAGAUUCACUGCUGACACUUACUGUCUAUGAUUGCUUGGCCUCAAUGAAUUCAUUUCAGAGUACACGGCUUCUUAUUUAUAAUCUUUCUCCUAGGUUUGAAGCUCAAAGGAGUGGCUGAUGCAGCGAAAAAUUACCAUGUGGUCCUUGAGGAAAAUCGAAGACUGUACAAUGAAGUGCAAGAAUUGAAAGGUAAAACUCUUAGUCAAUGUAAUUUACUAAUUUCUUUGUAUUGAACCAUUCAAGAAAUGACUUUAGUUCUUUCUCUUGCUAUCUAGGAAAUAUCAGAGUAUAUUGCCGGAUUAGACCAUUCCUUCCAGGGCAAAACAGUAGACAAACAACUAUAGAAUACAUUGGUGAGAACGGUGAAUUGGUGGUUGCGAAUCCCUUUAAGCAAGGGAAAGAUACGCAUCGGUUAUUUAAAUUCAACAAAGUUUUCGAUCAAGCAGCAACUCAAGGUUUAAACGUUUUUCCCUCUUAUGUGUUGUUAGUCUUCUCCUCUAUAAUAUAUGAUAUUCAUAUUUUGAAUCUGUUAUCUUAUGCAGAGGAGGUUUUCCUAGAUACUCGACCGUUAAUUCGAUCCAUUCUUGAUGGCUAUAAUGUUUGUAUAUUUGCCUAUGGUCAGACUGGUUCUGGAAAAACUUAUACAAUGGUAAAAUGACAAGCUUGAUUUUGUUAAUAAUAUGUUUUCACCAAGGAUUAUAAGUUUUUCUAACAGACAUAUUUCUAUUUUGCCAACACAGAGUGGGCCAAGCAUUACUUCAAAAGAAGACUGGGGUGUCAAUUAUAGAGCUUUGAAUGACUUGUUUCUCUUAACUCAGAGUAGACAAAACUCUGUCAUGUAUGAAGUUGGUGUUCAAAUGGUGGAGAUAUAUAAUGAGCAAGUUCGUGAUAUACUUUCUGAUGGUGGUUCUAAUCGAAGAUAUCCUUUUCUAAUCUAAUAUAGUGACUAAAUAUUUUUUGGAGUAGGUACAUUCAUGCAUUUAUAUUUGCUGUUCCAUAGAGAAAUUGGUAUUGGUCUAGUGCUAUUAGGUUUUACUAAUGUUCUGUGGUUGCGUUCAAUACAAAAUUUCCUUAACUUGCAUACAUUAGGGAUUUGGAACACUGCCUUGCCAAAUGGGCUAGCAGUCCCUGAUGCAAGCAUGCAUUGUGUGAGAUCAACAGAAGAUGUUCUUGAACUGAUGAAUAUUGGACUAAUGAACAGAACCGUGGGUGCUACAGCUCUCAAUGAAAGGAGCAGUAGAUCACACUGGUUUGUAUACUUUCUUCCUGAACUUGUAUUACCUUCCUUAUGUUAUUGUCUAAUUUUAAGAAGACAAUGUUGGCUAUCAUCUGCAGUGUUCUUUCUGUCCAUGUACGUGGUGUUGACGUGGAAACCGAUUCAAUUUUGCGGGGCAGUUUGCAUUUAGUUGACCUUGCAGGAAGUGAGAGGGUUGAUCGCUCUGAGGCAACCGGAGAGAGACUUAAGGAAGCUCAACAUAUAAACAAAUCAUUAUCAGCCCUUGGCGACGUCAUCUUUGCUUUAGCGCACAAAAACCCUCAUGUUCCGUACAGGAACAGCAAAUUGACUCAAGUCCUUCAAAGUUCUUUGGGUAAUUAUCACUCUUUGAAGACAAGAUUGAGAUUUGUUUAUAUUGCAUAAAAAUGAUGUUUGCUUUAUGUUGUUGUCUUGUUGAUUCCCUUAACUUUUCUUUCUUGUUUCUUAGGUGGACAGGCCAAAACUCUUAUGUUUGUCCAAGUCAAUCCUGAUGGAGAUUCUUAUGCUGAGACCGUAAGCACUUUGAAAUUCGCCGAAAGGGUUUCUGGUGUGGAGUUAGGUGCUGCCAAAAGUAAUAAAGAGGGUCGAGAUGUAAGACAACUCAUGGAACAGGUUUGUAUUCUCUAUCUCGCUCUAUAUCUCUCAAGAUUUAAUUUUGGCUAUUGAAAGUCAUAGAGAACAAAGGUAUUCAUAUGAUAUUGCUUGAUAUAACAGGUAUCGAACUUGAAGGAUGUAAUUGCUAAGAAAGAUGAAGAGCUUCAAAAUUUCCAGAAGCUAAAAGGUAAUAAUGCAACAUCUCUGAAACGUGGACUAAGCAAUUUAAGGUUGGUAGGGCCUUCAUCACCUAGAAGACAUUCUAUUGGAGCUUCACCUAAUGCUCGACGAGGAAAGGCCCCUGGUUUAUUCGGAAGAGGAACCUCAGAUGUUGACAACUGCUCCGAAUAUAGCAGCAAACAUUCUGAUUCUGGUUCACAACAAUCAUCUGACGAACGUAAACAUCGAAAGGAUUUUCACCAACCAUCUAAGUUUGCUGGAGGGGCGAAAGGAAUUGAUUUUGAUGAUGAAGAUGUUGAACUCGUAGGCCUUGCAGAUGCAGAUUCUGAGGAAAGAUUGAGUGAUAUCUCUGAUAGUUGUCUUUCAAUGGGAACAGAAACUGAUGGAUCCAUAAGCAGUGCAGUGGAGUUGACUCUAUUCCCUGAAACUGCUAAGCCUCUUGAAAUAACAGAACGACCUGAAGCCCAAAUGACCUCUGAGAAACCCGAGAAAUCAGUGAAAAUGGGGAAAACUGAGCCAAAAGACAGGUUAGUAUCCUCUACUAGCACACAUUAAUAGAUCAAUCUGAAUGCAUUUACAGAUUCUUAUCAUUGUUUUUGUUUUGGGAUUUCAAAAGCAGAACUAAUAUUCCAUCGAAGAUUCCAAAGCAGACCUUAAAACCACCAGGCCAAACCAGACCGUCUCGUCUGUCAAUUGCCACUAGCUCCUCCUCUAAGGCUUUAACAGGUAAUGUCUCUGUCUCUAUACAUCAGGCUCAAAUCACAGCCUACUUAGAUUUCUAUGAAAGAUCAUAUGAAGUAUAUACUUUGCUUAUACAUGAGUCAUCUAAUCUUCUUGAUUUGCCUCAGGUGCUAAAAGACCAACAAUUAGCACUUCAUCUUCAGCGAAACCACUUAACAGAAGGCGGUGAAGACACAAGAUUUAUCUUGAGGGCUGGAAGAAGAAGCUUUGUUAUGGAUUUGAUCUGAUGGUGUUUGGUAGCUAAUUGUGUAACUAAGCAUAUGAUGUCUUAUUGUUCUUUUUUUGUUAACCUAAAUCAAACAAAUACCUUAACUAAGUUUUCAUAUGUCUUAGACUCUUAGUAUUAAUUUAAUCCUGUCGAAGUAACCUGUGAGGUUUUUCUCUAUGAUUCUAAUCACCUAAUGUUGCGCACGAUAUCACUGGAGUAAUACAUCACUCUAUCUGUAUGGGCCACUUAUUUUUACCGAAAAUGAAUUUCUCUAUGAUUCUAAUCAACAUACUUUGCCUAAUCAAGGUAAUAAUAUCUAUCUACAUGGAAGGAUAGGGAAACUUGAGCAAACCAGAAUUAUGGAUUAACUGGAACCAAUCAAGACUACUUGAUUCUUCUUUUUCCCUUUUGCUGAUUCUUAUGGCACUAUUGUGGUCGCCCAAUUUUGGCCUCAAUAGCUUAAGACCUUAAAGAGCAAAAUCAUUGGGAUGUGUUAAAGUUUCAUUUCAUACUAACUAAUUGGUACAACUGAAUCUCUCAAAAGCCCUACUCUAACUAACUGUUCUUAUUCUUAUGUAUACAUUUAACACAUUACACACAAACUUUCACUGGAAUGGUAAGGUUUAAAUAAUUUUGUAAGUAUAUUGCAAAUUUCUCUACGGUUUUCCAAAGAAUGUCUUGUAUCAUUUGAUAGAUUUGAUUCCUAUUUCAUGAGUAAACUUACAAACUUAUGAUAACAAGACAAUGAUCCCAAAUCCAUGAGUACAGCUGCAAACUUCUCAUAACAAGACAAUGGGUCCUAAAUGACUCCUAAUCCAUGAGUAAAACAUCAAACUUAUGAAAACAAGACCAUUUCCUUAAUCAUGAGUAAAUCUUCAAACUUACAAAAACUAGUACCAAGCUAUUUCAAGCACAGUGAUUAUAAGAUUUGGAUUCAAUUAAGUUCCCAUGCCAUAAUGUAAACGAGAGAAGACAAGACAAAAAAAGCAGAACACAAGUAGCAAGGCACAAGUGAGUAGGACGUACCAUAGAGAAACUAGAUCAAGACAGUCACUCUUCACAAUAAACACUAAGACAGCAUAUCAAAAAAAGCUCUUGUCCAAUUUACCAUUGGAUAUCAUAUCAGCAAACCAUUUUCAUGGUGAAUGCAUCUCCUCUGAACCCGUUGCUUCGCAUCUCCGUCAUAAGUUCAGCUGAUGCAGCUAUUUCACCAGCUCUAAGACAUCCUCUGAUUAGUAGAAUGUAUGUGCAGGCAUUUGGUACAUGUCCAUUGUCCUUCAUUUUUCGGAACAACGCAUUUGCUUCAGAAACUGCACCUAUUCCACAGAAUCCAGAUAUCAUUAUAGUGUAUGUUUGAACAUGAGGUUCUACACCAUCGAUGGGGAGACUACAAAAAAAUCAAUAUCAGUUUGGCCUCUCUUCUUUGCUAUUUGUAUGGUUGGCUCCAAGUUCAUGGAGAAGCCGGUCAUUUCCAAGCAAAAGACAACAUAUGGCAGUCGCAGAAACACUUAAUCAGAAUACUGAAGCUGUAGAUAUUAAGUGGAAUCAAUCGCAAUUCCAUCAUCUUAUGGAGAGAAAUCACAACAUCGGGACGAUUCAUUCUGACGGAAGCAGUAGCAGAUUCAGAUCUCAAAACCCUAGCCAACAUUUUGUUGUUUCGCCUGAUUUUGUUUUUUUCCUUGUCGAUCUUUCUAAAUUCUAACUCUGAGUGAGUGAAGAAGUGGGUGAAGCCCAGAAAACCGGUAAUUUUAAAAUGAAUCAUAAAUCUCAGCCGGUUCGAUCUGAACGAUUCUGAAACCGGUUCGUUUUGACCAAUGUAGUGGUAUAGUGAAAAAAAUUAAAUUAUAUUCCAAUAAUAAAAAUUUGGAAGAUAAGGAAAAAAAGAAAAGAAGGAGCGUGCAAAUAAAAGUCACAGUCGCGACCCAAACUAGCGAAAAGCUUCGAUUUCCAGCGAUCCUAGAGUUGGAUUUUUAGGGUUUGAAUCUUGAGAACGAAGAUGUAUUCGUUAUCGAUGCAAUUCUCGCUUUUGCAAUCACCAUCUCGACCUUCUUCGUCUUUCUUAGCCAACCAUGAACCUAAACUCUCUACUUCUUCCUCCUCUGCGAGCUUCCCCUUGAAGACUUGGAAGAGUACCGGAAGUGGGAAUUUGAUGGUUCUGAGAGUUAAAACUUAUGGUUCUUCUUCUUCUGAUUCCUCUCCAGAGUCCAAUGGCACUCGGGUAAAUUGCAAUUGCAUUUUCUCGAUUGAUAUGAAGAUGAAAUUGCAUUGCUUAAAUCACUCGAAUCGAAUAUUACUAAACCCUAAUCUUGACCGUCUCAGCCCAAAAGCAGGAGGGAUAUUCUACUGGAGUAUGUUCAGAAUGUGAAGCCUGAGUUCAUGGAGAUGUUCGUUAAACGUGCCCCUAAACAUGUAACUUUACUCUGCUUCAUUUUCUCAAAAGACCAAUUUUUUUAAAAAAGUUAGAGCUUAUGAUUGAUUCUGCGUUGCUCCUUUGUUAAUUGGGGAUAUUAAUUAGGUGGUUGAUGCAAUGAGACAAACUGUGACAAAUAUGAUUGGAACGCUGCCACCGCAGUUUUUUGCGGUUACUGUCACCUCUGUGAGUGUUUUAUGUAAGCGAUACGUUUUCACAAGUUGUGUCCUGUGUUUGUUACUUGGGUUUUGUGUGUUGAAACUGCGGACUAUGGGUUUAUUAGGUUGCUGAGAACCUUGCACAACUGAUGAUGAGCGUAUUGAUGACUGGAUAUAUGUUUAGAAAUGCUCAGUAUCGUCUUGAAUUGCAACAAAGUUUGGAGCAGGUUGCUCUUCCUGAACCACGUGAUCAAAAGGUGAACAUUUUCAGGUUUUUAACUUCUGUUUUUCGCGUGGCCUGUAACCGUGUAAAUGCCGAUGAGAGUUAGUUUGAUGCUUCAAUCUUGACAUUUCUGUUUCUUCUCUGUCUCCCUCUGAUAAGCCUUGUGUUAAGCUAGUGUAGCAGCAUUUUAAUUACCCCAUGUAACUUGUGGUGGAUUUUAGCCGCGUUAACAGCUCAACAAAUGUUGUUGAGGCGGUUAGUUAGAGAGCUAACUGGUUCAAAGUAAGUUUAGGCAGAAUGAGUUGUGGGUUAUUCUGGUUAGGUCUCAGAUUUUGGUUUGGGCAGUGGUCGAGAGUUAGAGACUUCUCGCGUUCAUGCUGUAGUUCUUUGGUGACUUGAAUAAAGCUACUUAAUAUGUGUGUCUUAAGUCUGAUCCAUCAGAUUAUAUGUGACACUGGUUUUCUAUUCUGAUUAAGCCAGGGGGGUGAGGAAGACUAUGCACCAGGAACUCAAAAGAAUGUUUCAGGGGAAGUGAUCAGGUGGAAUAACAUUUCUGGUCCUGAAAAAAUUGAUGCAAAAAAGUAUAUCGAGCUUCUAGAAGCAGAGAUCGAAGAACUCAACCGUCAAGUGGGGAGAAAAUCUGUGAAUCAGCAGAACGAAAUUUUGGAGUAUCUAAAAUCUCUCGAACCCCAAAAUCUUAAGGCAUGAGAAUUCAUAUAUUAGUUUUUAAUUUUUCUUCAUCAAUUGUUUCCAAUGCUUUUCUCAGUGGGAAUACUUUGAAUUUGUAGGAGCUUACAAGCACUGCAGGCGAAGAUGUUGCCGUGGCCAUGAAUACAUUUGUCAAGCGGCUUCUUGCUGUGUCAGACCCAAAUCAAAUGAAGGUUCUCUAAUAAUAACCUCUUCAGCUGAAACUUGUUCUGAGUUGUGCCAGGUGUAUAUAAAUGUGAUUGUGAAUUGACUGAUAUCAAUGUUUUGGUGAUUACACAGACGAAUGUGACAGAGACAAGCGCAGCGGACCUUGCAAAAUUGUUGUAUUGGUUAAUGGUAGUUGGAUAUAGCAUUCGCAAUAUCGAGGUUCGGUUUGAUAUGGAACGUGUGCUUGGUACUCAACCGAAGCUUGCAGAGCUGCCUCCUGGUGAAAUUAUUUGAACACUGUAAUGAAUAAAACCAGGGCUUUUUUUUACCCGAAGAACUCAGAUUUCACUUGUCAAGUAAUUUUUAUUGUAAAAUUGAUUGAACUUACUUUGAAGAGAAGACAGAUUUUGCUUUGAGAGACCUCUUCAGACUCACAAAUAGCAGGCAAAGCUUCAACUAUGAUCAUUAGACUUGCAUAAGGAUAUUUAAGGUCUGAUCAACAAAAGAAUACUCGAUUCACGGGUUCCGAAUAGAUCUAGAUAUCCACUUUAGUAAAUUUCUAUGGAUCGAAUUGUGAGCUAACAUGUAUUCUGAUUUAACUAUGUAUGUACUCGAUUUUGUGAAAUGCCAACCUAGUGUGCUUUUUGAUAUUCAUCCAAAUGCUGGUCUUUAUAGUCUUAAGAUUUAUAAUUCUUAGAACAAUCUUAAGAUUGAGAAAACUUCUACUACACAUAAGACCGAUACAUCGACAACAAAAUGUUAUUACAAAAAAAAGAAGAUAGAUGGUGAUUUGGUACGAAAAUCAAAUUUCUUUUAUCUCUGCAAACCAUACAAUUGUGUUUUUGACAAAACCAUUCAAACUAAAUACCAAAAUCAACAAAAAGGAUACCAAAAUCAAUUCGGCUACUACAAAAGGAUGAUUCUUUGUGACAGACACUUGAUCAUCGAAUACCACCCAAAGACUUUAGAGCACGUUCAAUACAAUUUUUCUCUCUCCCCUAUGAUUCCCUAAUUAACAAUGCUUAAAUACACAAAGGAAAUAACUUAACUAGUAUGGAACGUGAAUGAGUACUGCGAGACAAUCCCACUAAUAUAGGAGAACACAUGAUGCCAUAUCUCCAUUCAAUCUUUCACCAAGUCAAAGUUGGUUUACUCUGGUACGGUAAUGACCUUCUCAUCCCCCAAAAUGGAGAGAACAAAAAUAUAAACCGAUAGUUACAAUCCUAAUUACAUCACUAGAUUUGAUCAUAAACCCAUUAGUAAACCUAUCAUGAUUGCAAUAAAGGUUCUCCCAAAUAUAUCAUCUCCUGUAAAACCAAAAUUCAAAGCCAUAUCACAUAACCAUAGGGUGGGGAAAGGAAAAAACGGACCAGACCAGAUAUUAUAUACUGCUACUCACCUUUUGUUGUAACGCCAAAACUCGUUAGGUUUGGUUGCAAAGCAGAGAUGUCAUACCUCAGAAGACAUUUAGGAAAGUAGAUCCGAGCCCAACGAGAUUGGCUGCAACACUCGGAGAAUUUUUCGACUACAAGCCCCAAGCAAACGGUGCAGUUACUUGGAUCAAGAUCAGGACUACACUGGGCCAUUGCCUCUAAAUCAUACGAACCUUCCAGUUGAGUCACAUGUUCUUGAUCUUCCACAAAAUAUGGAACCGGUGACGAAGAAGACGAGGAUGCUCUGAAGACAAGCUUGUCUAUUUUUCCAGGAAGUGUUUUAUUAAAAAAAUGAGGAGAAUUCAAAGAAUCAUUCCGAUAGUAACUAGAGGAUGUAGGUGCAUCCUCUACGAGAGAGAAGAAAGAAACGUCCGAGUACCGAACCAUACACUCGUCAGAGAACAUGAAAGAUGUGUCAUGAGAAUCGCAUGAUUUAUCCAUUCCUAAAGUCGCAGAAUGGACACAGUUUGAACAAGAUGUUUUGCUUAUGUUUCCUAUGCAUAGGAACAUGCCAUAGACUGUAUUUGGGCUAAGACCGGCCGUGGCAUUGAAGUAAUAGCUUCCGAGGGAGGAACGGUUGCGAAGAGUUGAGAGGACGGUGUUGCGGUUUGAUUGAUAAGUGUCGGGUAAUUGGUUGCAAUCGGUUAGAUUUUGAGAAGGUUGGGACAUGGCCCCAAGAGAGAACAAGAAGAAGCAAAACAGAGCAACAUCAAUGGUUCUUGUCAUUUUUCUUAUGACUUAUGACAAGGAAUAAACCAGAGCACAUAGAUUUAUAUAAUGAAACAGUUACCUUUUUUUAUUUUAAUUCUUUCAAAUCUGCAAUGUCCACACAUAACGUGGUAGACAAAUUCAGAGGUAGAAUAUGUAUAUAACUAUUAUUAUUUUUAGUUGAAUUUCAUUUUCUUGUAUAUAUACAAACGUUGAAUAUCUUUGCAGGUCCAUUAAAUAAGAAGAUGUAAGACUAAGCACAAGUCUUGUAUCAUUUUUUAUUUUUUUUGGCAAAUGAAGAUAUUCUGAGUUUUACACCCAGCAAAGUGGUAGUGACUCAGCAUGAUAUAGGAGUCACACCAGGGAUCGAGUAACGAUAUUGGUACCCCCGAGUGAGGAGGAAAAGUGUUUCCUCUCGACUUCCAUCGAGUGUCGAUGGUUGGCUGACAUUGAAGAUAUUCUGAGUUUUAGAACCAUAAUGUUUUUGUUUUUUGGACCACAGACAAAAGAAAAUCCAACGGCUGAGAAAAGAUUAAUUCAUAAAUUUAAGAAAAAACUAUUAUUACUUUAUUAGGGAACUCAUUAAUGAGAGAUAUAGGUGUUUUAGGUUUUUUAACUUCUUUUUUUUCCCGUCAGCAAGGUGUUUUAGGUAUCUUGAGUUUUAGAUUUGUAAGUAAAGUUACAAUUUUAUGGAGAAGAUAACAAAUAGAAACCUUUAAAGUAAAAAUAUGGACAUGCAUCAAACUCCAUUUUCUUAUUAACUUUCUAAUCAAUCCAUACAAACAGAAUCAAACCUAAUUUUUUUUUGGGGGAAAAUAUUAACAUUUUUUUGUGAACAUAACACACAUCACACAGAUUAAACGAAUUUUAUUUCUUUCACAAAUCAUUAUUUAUAAUCAAUCCAUAAAUCAUCACAUUUGUUCACAAAUCCACAAGUGGCAACACCUAAGCUGCCAUUUUAAAAGCAAUCCUUGCAAAUAUUUAGUUUCCUGCCACAAAAAAAAAAACACAAAUUAGAGCAACCGUCCCUAUCAAUAGUACAGAAUGUGGGAAACUUAGGAAUGAUUAUAUGAUUUAAAGUUCUAAACUAUACGUACAAAAUCAUAUAUCUUUGUUUUCUAAAAAUCGACGAAUUAAGUGUUCAGCGGCGGAGGCGGUUGCAUAAGAGGAGGCGGCGAUUGAGGCGGCAGAGACAGAGGAGGCGGAGACAACGGAGAUAGAGGAGGCAGAGACGAUGGAGACGGUGCUGGUGAUGGCAAAACAAAGGUUCUAUACCUCAAAAUACAUUUAGGAGUGAAAAUAAGAGCCGAACUUGGUAUACCGCAACAAGUUGAAACUGUUGCAUACGCAAAUCUGAGGCAAAUGGUACAGUUUGAUGGAUCAAGAUCAGGACUACACUGAAUCAUUGACACUAAAUCAUAUGAACCCUCUAACUGAGUCACACGUUCUUGAUCCUCCACGAAAUAUGGAAUCAAAGUUGACGAAGAGACGUUAGGAAUCAGUUGGUCCAAUUUAUUGGAUAGGGUUUGGUUAAACCGGUUUGAGUUUGGAGCAGAACGAAGAGAGUAAAGAACGAUGACUGGUUUACUUUCAAAUUCGGAGAAGAAGUAAACAUUUGAGUAUCGAACCAUACACUCUUGGUAGUAUAUGAACGCUCUUUUGUUAAGAGUACAGUUUGUAGCGAUCUCGAUUGUUGCGGUUUGGACACAGUCGGAGCAAGUUGUUGUGUUGAUGUCUCCUCUACAGAGGAACAUGCCAUAGACUGUGUCGGGGCUAAGACCGAUUGUGGCAUUUAAAUAGUGUACGAGAGGGGAAGACAAGCUGAGAGCGGUGAGUAGGAUGUUGCGGUUUGUUUCGUAUGAACUGGUUUGUGUGAAGUUGUCGGAAGGAUUGCAGAAAGUGUGCAUGUGUUGAGGUUGGGACAGGGUUUGGUGAGAGAACAACGAAAAGAAAAAGAAAUAAAACAGAGGAGUGAGUGUAAUGAUGAUUCUUGCCAUUUUGUUCUUUGUUGUUUAACAAAACAGAGGAGAUAGAUAAUUUAUAAUAGAAAGAAAAGAGCUAUUUUUGUUGAUCUAUUCAAGAUAUUAUCUUAAUAAUGAUAUGGUAUACCAAUUCAGAGGAAGAAUAUGUAAAACUAUCAUUUAGUAAGACAAAAUCAUAAUAAGGUCGACGCAAAAUAGAAUAUAAUGUUUAUCUUAGAGCAAAACAGAGACUUAGUCCUAAAAAUUUAUGUCAAAAACCUUAGGAAGUAUGAAAGGUUGUUAUCUAUAUAUAUAUAUAUAUAUAUAUAUAUAUAUAUAUAUAUAUAUCAUUGAUAUGGCUCUAAGGCCUUUAUAUAGUUUUUACAAGAUGACCUAAUUGCUAAAAACUUAUACACAACAAGAAAAGGAGAUAUGCCUUUAUUCAAGUUGGAGUGUGAAGAUCACAAACGUCCAAUUUGAAAAGAAAUUGCUCAAAAUGACGUCCAAGACCCUGGCCACCGGUUCGUUCGUACAUAGGCACUGGCAAUUGUUCCGUUUAUAUAUAACUUUAUCAAGAAUAAAAUGAGUCGGGUUAUUUUAUAUUUUUGUCACCGUAAUAAUUUGGAAGAUAGAGAACAAAAUGAUAGGGUUAAAGUGGAGGACAGAGAACAAGGUGAUAGGCUUGAAGUGCUAGGAUUAUUACUUGAGCAACAAGAACCAUAAGUAACUUGGACAGGAGCUUGCGCUCGAAUUUAGAUGGUGUAGGACAGUAGGAGCAGCAGCAAGUGCACCAUAAUUAUCCAAUAUACAAUACCCAAAUUCUGAAUAUAUAUAUAUAUAUAUAUAUAUAUAUAUAUAUAUAUAUAUAUAUAUAUAUAUCUAUCUAUAUUAUUAAUUGGGAAACAUUGGAUAAUAAAUAACCUUAUAAAGGGUAAAGAAUUACAAAAAAUGUCAUUGGUUUUUAAUGUUUUUAAAUAACUUCAUUAAGGGUACAAUAGUAAUCACAAAAUUAAUAUAUUUAAAUAAAAAAUAGUUUAAUUCUUUUAAAUACUUAUUAAUUUCCAAAAAAAUAAACUAAUUUUCUCUCUCUUAUUAAUUAUAAACGAAAAUUUGAAAUUAAUUUUUUAAAAAUUGUUAACCAAUAGGAAUUGAAAAACUAAGAUUUGAUAUCCAACUAAGAUUUUUUCUAAACCAAUCCUAAUAGACUAUUCUAUAUCAAAAAUAAAAAUAAAAAUAAUAUCAUUUUAAUUCAAAAUUAAAAAAAAACUAUCAUUUAAAAAGAUUUAUCAAUGGAGGAUUUUAAGAUUGAAUUUGAAAUUUGGUAAAAAAAUUAAAUGCAAAUAUUUUAAUAUUCAGUUUUGUUAUAAUAUUUUUAUUACAAAUUUUGAAAUAUAAAACGAAAUUUUAUUUCAUAAUUUCUAAAAAACCAUAUUAAAUAUUAACAAAUAUUUAUUUUUACUAUGAAAUAAACUCAAAUAAUAAUAAAUUUUAAGGAAUUAUCAUAAUGGUUUUCGUUUAGAGCAAUUUUCGAAAAAAUCUAAACAAUAGAAUGUACAUAUUAAUUUUGAGAUAUUUUGUGUUUUAUUUUUUUCUUUUCAACUCAGAUCUUCCUUAAAUAAUAACUAGAUGCAAAUAUUAUUUAAGGAAGAUUUUAAGAUUGAAUUUGAAAUUUGGUAAAAAAAUUAAAUGCAAAUAUUUUAAUAUUCAGUUUUGUUAUAAUAUUUUUAUUACAAAUUUUGAAAUAUAAAACGAAAUUUUAUUUCAUAAUUUCUAAAAAACCAUAUUAAAUAUUAACAAAUAUUUAUUUUUACUAUGAAAUAAACUCAAAUAAUAAUAAAUUUUAAGUAAUUAUCAUAAUGGUUUUCGUUUAGAGCAAUUUUUGAAAAAAUCUAAAUAAUAGAAUGUACAUAUUAAUUUUGAAAUAUUUUGUGUUUUAUUUUUUUCUUUUCAACUCAGAUCUUCCUUAAAUAAAUCCAUAAUAUAUUGCACACAGUUUUUGAAAUUAUGUAAACUAAUUAUAUAUUUUGCAUUCAACACAAAUUAUGCAGCAAUAGCAUAUCCCUUUUAUAGAUGUGUCUAAAACUUUUAUUUUUAGUCCAAAUAUUGAACUAAUUAUGAUUAAACAAUGAAAAGAAGAAUAUGCAAAAUUUAGCUAAGGAAAGAAACAUUAAUAAAUUUGUUAAAAUAUUUGUAACUUUAACAUCAUACCUAUUAAUCCGCAAAACUCACAGUAUGUAUUUUAUGGUAUUUUAAAGUAAGCAAACAAUAAUUUGGAACAUGGUUUUAAUGGAAUGAAAUGAGAAUAAGAAUUACGAGACGGGAUGGCAGGGGAACAUAAAUUAAAAAUCAAACUUAAUACUCAACUGGUAUGAGUUUGUGUUAUGAGCACUAUAUAAAAUAAAUUUGUUUACACACAUAACCUUAUACGUACGUUUUUAGUUACAAUUUAUGACAGAUACGGGACCGUAAUAUUUUUAUUUCACGUAUACGAGACGGGUUAUGGGACGAAAAAUUUAUGACAUAUACAAGACGGGAUAGGUUUCCUGUUCCAAAAUAGUUACGCCUAGCUAAUAUACAUGAAAUAAUCCAAACUAAACCGAAUAUGUAUCCUAUUUAACACAUGUAUUCAAACUGUUAUAAAUGUUUUGAAUAGUUUAGAAAAUAAAAACGUAACAUCACUUAACUUUUGCAACUAAAUAAUAUCUUAAUUUUAUAUUAAAUACAAUUUCACACGUACGUGUAGGUCCGAAUCUUAAAAUAUAACUAUGCACUAACAUAACUAAAUUUCGUUCAUUACCUAACUUUAUAAUAUCUAUAUUAUUACAAAGUUCACUAACACAACAAAAUAUUUUAUAUUUUUAAAAUCUAUAUAACAAUUUCUAAAAAAAAUAUCUCUGCACGUAUAUGUGGAUCUAGAUCUAAUACACUAAAAUAUACAUCAUAAAAACAAUAAAAUAAUCUAUAUUGUAUGAAAAUUUGUAAGAAAUGUUUUUGAAAUAUGAAACCCCGCACGUACGUGCGGGUCAGGAUCUAGUAUAUAUAUAUAUGUGAAUCUCCUUAAUCUUUUUUUCUUAUUCGUUUUUAACAAACUAAAGAAGACAUUAAAUUGGUUAAUCAUUUGAUAACUUUUGUGGUUAUUAUAUAAGUUAAACCGCAUAUAUGAUCUCCUUCAAUUUUUUGUUGCGAGUCUCUCUCGUUUUGGGUGAAGCAAAAUGGGGUUUAUACGACCAUUUUUUUUAACAGAAAAUGAUCCGGAUUUUUUACCAUCCGACUAAUCAUGAGUAAAAUUGAUUUAUAUAUUUACAUAUAAGUUAAUUUAUUUGUAGGUCAUCACACAAUCAUAAUAUUGUUUAAUAGUCUUUUUAUCCGUGCACAAUGCGGAUUGAGUUCCUAUUAGACAAGAAAAUGACAUAUCACACGUCACACACAAUCUUGGAAUACAAAUAUAAUCUUCAGAAUCAUUGGAUUGGAUCAUAGACCCACAAGUGCUAACACCGAAGUUGUCAAGGCUGUAAUGAAAAUUCUCCUAAACAUUUCGUUUCCUGCAGUAAAAAGAAAAGCCAAACACAUAAACGUUUUAGUUCCUCAGUCGAUUAUCUUCCUGAUAGUUGGAUUUUAUCAUGACCGAGUUUAUUGUUCUCAUUGACAAAUAAAGUUUGAUUACUACACAAAAAGUUGCGGUUUCAGCUAAAAAAAUUAAAACAUUAUUUUUUUCACGUAAACUUAAACAAGAACGUAAACAAAAAAAAAAUAUCUACUCGAGUGCAUAGUAUUAGCUCGCUCACCUUUCAUAACGUUAAUAGACGAUGAGCCGCUUGGUGACUGAGAAGUUGGCAAACCGGUUGUGUCAUACUUCAAAAGACAUUUAGGAAGAUUGAACUGACCCCAACGAGCAUUGGUACAACAGCCUGAGAGACUAUUGACCACAAGUCUCAAACAGACGCCGCAAUUUGCUGAAUCAAGAUCAGGACUACACUGAACCACUGUGUCUAAUGUAUACGAGCCCUCUAAUGCAUUCACACGUGAUAUAUCCUUCUCGUAAUAAGGCGUAGAAGCAGACAAAGAAGACUUUGAUCCUAUGAGGAUAAUUAGUUGCUCUACCUUAUUGGAUAACGUUUGUUGGAACGAACUAAAAAUAGAAGUAGGAAACGAAGCGACAGAGUAUCUAGCGGCGUAAGGCCCGUCUUCUACGAGCGUGAAGAAGGACACAUUGGAGUAACGAACCAUACACUCCUCGUAGUAUAUUAGAGCAGUUUUUCUGGAAGUGCAGUUAUUUUUAGUGAUUUCUACGGUUGCGGUCUUGACACAGUCCGAACAAGAUGUUUUGGGGAGGUCUCCUCGGCAGAGGAACAUGCCAUAGACUGUGUCGGGGCUAAGACCGAUUGUGGCAUUGGAAUAGGUUCCGAGGGAGGAAUGGUCACGGAGAGAAGAAAGUAGGGUUUCACGGUUUGAUUUGUAUGAGCUGGUUUGUGUGAAGUUGUCGGAUAAUUGGUCGUCGCAGAAAGUGUGCAUGUGGUGAGGUUGGGACAUGGCUUGGUGAGAAAAUAGAGAGAAUAAGAAAAAGAAGCAAAACAAAGGAGCAUUGAAUCUGAUUAAAAUUGCCAUUUCUUUUUAGUUCUUUCUUGUUUAUGAAGGUAGAAUAAACCGGAGCAGAAACCUAGCCAUUUAUAUAGGGAAAGAUCUUCUUUUAUUUUAAUUCAUUCAAAUAUAUAACGUCCUAUACCAAUUCAGAGAAAGAGAUACAUAUAUAUAUUUGUUAUUGUUUCAGAAUAACAAUCAGAUGAUUUCAUCAAUAAGAGUUGAAUCCAUAUACAUAUCUGAACAACACAUCAUCUUUUAUAUAUUAUACUUGUUCUUGAAACGUAACUAUGAAAAAAUCAGAAAGUUAACACACUAUUUAGCUUUGUUAGCGUAUGAACCAAAACAUGGACUUGUUCUAUACAAUUUUAGAAGACAAAGAUUUGAUGCAAAGAAAAAAAAUCCAAGAGUCAAAGUCGUGCAUGUUCACAAACAAUACAAACUAUAAUUUGGAAUUGCCGUGGUAUUACAAAAAAAUAUGACCAUAAUCAUAUUAUAUAAAAAAAUUAUAAAAUCAUUUAGUUGAACCUUUUUAUCUUUUCGGACUUCAUUUUAAAUAUAUUUAGAGGUUUUAUUUCUGUUAAUAUUUCGAGGUAUUUGCAUUAAUUACAUAUGUUGAAGAUCUAAAUAGCUAGCUAGAUACCUCCAAUGAAGAUGUUCUAAGUCUCCUAAUUAGAGAUCUUUAAAAUAUCAUAUUUUUUUCAUAAUGAAAAAAAUCAGCAUACAUUUAAUAAUUUAUCAAUCAAUAUAACGUAUUAAUUUUAUUAGAUAUCAUUGGUACUCUAAACCCUAAUUUAAAAAACAUCUCAGAAAUUAGGAACUCUAACCAACCAUUUAGUCAUUGAUUUUUCUUCUUAACCCUAAUUUCAAAACACUUCAGAAAAAGCUAUUUUCACUCAUUAAAAUAAGUCGAUUUUUUUUUUUGGGUGAGGCUAGUCCAUAUAAUUAACUGCCUCAAGUUCCAAGAAAACGACGUGGAUCAUACAGUUUUCGUUAACUUAAUUUGAUCAUCAAUAACCAAAGUAAUUAAAUAUUACGUCAGAUAAGUUUUACCAUAUUCACAUUUUUACGUAUACUGAUAUUUUAUAUAUGAUUUGUUGAGUGUUUAUUAUUGGAUUUGUUUUAUGAAAGGCGUUUUAAGGUUGCACAAGAAGACACCAAUGAGCUGGAAUCUUUGGCUAUCUCUAGAGAAAUAAAAGAUAUACCAAUUAUUGUUGCUGAUAUUAUUUGUAUAUUUUGUGUUUGUGUUUAAGUUCGAUAAUUUGCUGUGGGUUAAGAAAUUUGCAAAUUGCUGAUUAUCUGAGAAUUGUUUUUUUUCUUUCUUUCUAAAAUUUGUUUGUUUGUUUGUAUGGUUCAGUUAGACGAGUAAUUUAGUGAAGUUGUGAAUGGUUAAAAUGUUGGGUGAAUAUAUUCAGUACAGGUUAUGAUAAAAUACAAAAUGAUUAGAAUUACUACUGAAUUAGUAUUAACCGCCGAAAUUUGAAUUGCUUCAGAUGACGUUGGUCAUACUGUAUUUGUGUACGACAGUGUUGAUCAUGUGGUCCUAGUCAAUCCUUUCUAUUUUAAUACGGGUUUUUGCCACUAUUAGUAAUUUUACUUCGUGAAGUGGCUUGAAUAGUAGCACAUGAAAUAGUAUUAUUUUGGACUUUUUCCUUUUACUUCUUUGUUUGUUUCUUUUGUUAGUUAAGCAAAUGGAAUUAAAUUUUUAUAAACUGAAAAUUCUUCGAAAGAUUAAUUAUUCAAAGUGGGAAUAAGAAAAUAAGUUUAAAGUUUCAAAGAAAAGAGAUACGGUAACCAUGUAAAUGAUAAUGUAUUCGAUAACUUGUAUAUAUUCCAUUUAAUUUUUUUUUUUUUUUAGUUAGUAUAAGAAACUGGAAGUGUUGACAACUAAUUAACAACCUUAAAAUACUUCAAUUGGGAUCACUUGGACAUUAUAAUACUAACAAUGUUUUCUUUUUGAUCAAAAAUUCUACCAAUAUAAAGGAGAUAUUUAAAAUAACAAUAAAGCCACAAUUUUUUUUUGUUAGUUACAUACAUGGAUGAUAACACAUCAACAAUAUUAACACAAACCAAUAGAUUAAAUGUAUGAUCAACAUAUUAACAAAUAUUUUACACAACUAAAAACUUUAUUGGAUACAAAUAUUUAUGUAAUAUCUUCCACUUGUAAACUUAUAACCCUAAGUACCAUUUUAUGCUUUUUCGUUUUCAUUCUUAGUUUGACUUUUAAUUUCAUAAUAGAUGUAAGAUAAUCACCCCUCUAUAAUAAUGAUCAAGACAAUAUUUUCAAGAAUAAUAACAAUUUCUUUCAAAAGUCUAACAAUGACAAAGACGAAACCACUAGAUUUCGAAAAUGCUAGUAUAGCUAGCUGUUGAAAUUAUGAUUUCGUGUUAAAAGAAUGUUGACAUUAUAUAUAUAUAUAUAUAUAUAUAUGUGGUGUUAGUUACUAGAUUAAUAACUUGACAGAAAAGAAAAAAAAAACACUAUCAAGUAAAAAAUGGAUAUGUAUCAGACUCCAAUCUUUUUUUAUUGUUCAAUCCAUUAAUGCAUACAUGAGAAUCAACAUCACAUAUUUUGUAGGAACCAUAUUAACAUCUUUUGUGAUAUUGGAUCUUAUGAACGUAACACAUCACACAGAUUGAAGAAAAGCAAAUUAUUACAAAUCAUCAAUAUUUAUAAUCCAUGAGUUCAUGAAAUUAGAUCACAAAUCCACAAGUGCAAACAUCAAAGCUGUCAUUGUGACAACAAGUCUCCCAAAAAUUUCAUUUCCUGUCACAAAAAUAAUAAAAAUAAUUAGAGCCGGUUGAUUAAUAAUAUUCUCUCCGUUUCAUAAUAUAAGUCGUUUUAGCUGUAAGCACGCAUAUUAAGAAGAUCUACUUUUAAAAAGUUCAGCCAAUCACAACAAAGACUGCAUAAUAUAAAUAAUUAUAAAGUAUUAAAAUAAUAUAUAAUUUGCAUAGAAAUUUGGAAACGAUGUGAAACAAAAUUUGUUCUCCAAAACGACUUAUAUUAUGAAACGGAGGGAGUAUGAUUUAAUUAGGUAUAAUAAUUAAAUAUUAAAAAACAGGCUGACCUUUUAGAACGUUAAAGGAAAACGACCCGCUAGCAGGUGGAAAGUUCCGUGGCGGCGUGAAAACCAGCGGGGGCGGUGGCGUCUUUGGUAAAGAAGGAGGCGGCGAUGAUUGAGGCAGUGGAGACCGAGGAGGCGGAGGCGAUGGAGAUGACGGUGGAGAUGACAAAACAGAGGUUUGAAACCUCAAAAGACAUUUAGGAGUAAAGAUCUUAGCGUAACUUGGCAAACCGCAACAAGUUGAAAUUCUUAAGAAGGCAACCCUAAGACAAACGGUACAGUUGAAAAUAUCAAGAUCAGGACUACAUUGAACCAUUGACUCUAAAUCAUAAGAACCUUCUGAUUGUGUCACACGUUCUUGAUCCUCCACGAAAUAUGGAAUCAAAGAGGACGAAGAUAUGUUGAAUAUCAGUUCGCUGAAUUUUUCAGUAAGUGUUUGAUUGAACCGAGUCGGGUUUGGAGCAGAGCGAAGAGAGUAUAUAGUGAUGCUUGGUGUGAAUUCCAAUUCAGAGGAGAAAGAAACAUUUGAGUAUCGAACCAUACACUCCUCGUAGUAUAUGACCGCUCUUUUGUUAAGAGUACAAUUUGUAGCGAUCUCAGUUGUUGCGGUUUGGACACAAUCUGCGCAAGAUGCUGUGGUGAUGUCUCCUCUACAGAGGAACAUUCCAUGGACUGUGUCAGGGCUCUGUGGCGUUUGAAUAGUGUCCCAGAGAAGAAGACUCGCGGAGAGAGGCGAGUAGGGUGUCGCGGUUUGUUUCGUAUGAACUGGUUUGUGUAAAGUUGUUGUUAGGAUUGCAGAAAGUAAACAUGUGGUCAGGUUGAGACAUGGUUUGGUGAGAUAACAAAGAGAAGAAGAAGAAGUAAAACAGUGGAAUAGUGAGGGUAAUUAUGAUUCUUGCCAUUUUGUUCUUUGUUGUUUGAUAAAACAGAGGAGAUAGGAAUUUUUAGUAGAAAGAAGAUAACUUCUUUUCUUUUUGUUGAUUUAUUCAAUAUGAUGUCCAACUAAUGAUGGUAUACCAAUUCGAAGGAAGAAUAUGUAAAACUAAUAUAGUUUUCAUCCAUGAUAGCUAUAUAUCUUUACUUAGACAAAAUCAUAAAGUUGACACAAUUGUUUUUGUGUUUCUUAAGCAAAACAUAGACUUAGUCCUACAAAUUGGAAGAAAGAGUUUGAUGCAGAGAGUAAAGAAAUUACUGCAGACUCAUGGCGGCGAACGGGAGAAGAAUGUAACCUUGAAUAGGAUAGGCUUGAAGUGCUGGAGUUGUACCUUGAACAGCAAGAGUUGUACCAAACAUCAUAGGGCCAAAACCACUGGUAGGAAAGAACAACCCGGGAGGAGUUGUAGCAGCUGAUGGAGGAGUUGUGGUACCAUUAAAGGUGAAAUGACCAGAAGCAGAGGAGCUACUCGUUGCUCCACAUGCAGUGCAUCCAUGUGCUGGGGGAGAAAUAGUUGCGGUUUCAUGGGGUCUCUGAACACUCGAGUUAAAGGGAGGAACUGUUGUGGAGGAUGGUGAAAUAGAGCUCGGAAACUGGGAACGGAAAACAGUGGAAGGCGCAUUACGUUGAUCGAAAAUGCUAGAUGAAGGUGUUGUUCCACCAGGGAAGGCACGAAAAUCAACACCAGUUGUAGGAGUAAAUAUUGAUGGUGACACAGUUGGUGGUGGAGCAAAUGUUGAUGGCGACACAUUUAAUGGUGGAAAAGCAAAGUUUGGCCUUGAGCCUAUGGGAGAUGCAGAAGCAGCAGGAAACGACCCACCUGAACAUGAGAUUAGUCAAAAUUACAUAGAGAUAUAAAAGAGAAAAUGUUAUAUAUGUAUAAAAGAUUUAACUGAUGAGUUAGUUAGUUAGUUACCUUUGACUCCUUGCUUGUAAUCUUCCCACCUUAGUUCUUCAUGGCUUUUAUGUAGAUAAGGUUUGGAAGCAGAUAUGGAAAUAUAGAUUUCGCCUUUUCCUUUUUCAGUGGGGAAACUCCAACCAGAUGUGUUUUCUCCGUCAUGUGUAGGCGCAUAACCAGGAUUCCUACUACCUUGUUCAGUGGGGCGACUCCAUUCAUGAGAUGCAAAAGGAUAGGAUCCACUAUUGAGAUUGUUGCUAAAUGCAGGGGUUGAUGAAAAAGGCGAUCUUGGAAACACAGUAGCUCCAUUCAAACCAAAACGUUGAGGACCUGCACCGACUGAACCACCACCAAAAUUUGGUGGGUUUGAUCUAAAUAGGUUGGAGGAAGAUCCAGGCAGGUAACCAACACCAAAUCCAGGAAUACAACUGUUCAAUGGAGAUCCAGGCAAGGAACCAACACCAGUAGUCGAUGAGUUUUGUCCGAAAAGGUCGGAAGAGGAUGAUGCUGGCGUGGAACGAAAAACAGAGUUGAACAGCCAAGUACCAGUCGUCGGAGAUGCUGGGGCGCAACCAAAUAGGGGGGAUGUGAAAGUGCUAGAUGCACUAGCUUGGACAGGAGCUUGCUUUGGCCCAAAAGGUGAAGGAAAAAUCGCUGGAGUUGCACCAAAAACUUCUGUAGUAGUUGAGGAGGAAGCUACUGGCGAGCUACCAACAUCAGGUAUCGCAAAAGCAUUGUUCCCAAACAGUGAACCAGAAUUAUGCGCGUGCAUUGUCCCGCUUGUAGGUGGUGUAGGAGCAGCAAAUGUACUGAACCCGAAUUUGGGUGUUGAGGCAGGAGAUUGCGCUGGUCCAGAACUAACGGAUGUGAUGGCAGCAGGAGCGGAUCCGAAGCUGAAUAGCGAAGAACUGUGAAGUGGAGAUGAAGUUGAGGAUGUGGAAGUGGCAGACGCAUCGGAACCAGAGGUAGCUAGGAGAUCGCCAAAUAUAGGAGAUAGCGCUGGUCCCGAACUAACGGAUGUGAUGGCAUCAGGAGUGGAUCCGAAGCUGAAUGGUGAAGAACUUUGAACUGGAGACGAUGUUGAGGUUGAAACCGUAGCAGCAGAAUCAUGUCCAAGAGCUUGAACUGGAGAUGAUGUUGAGGUUGAAACCGUAGCAGCAGAAUCAUGUCCAAGAGCUUGGACUGGUCCCCAACUAACGGAUGUGAUGGCCGCAGGAGUGGAUCCGAAGCUGAAUGGUGAAGAACUUUGAACUGGAGAUGAUGUUGAGGUUGAAACUGUAGUGGCAGAAUCAUGUCCACAAGCUUGAACUAGUCCGGAACUAACCGGCACUGAAGUGAUGGAUGAGCCAAUCCUAUCUCUCGGUUCGGAUUCUUGAGUAUCGAGUAUGCCUGGAUUGCUACACUGGUAACAGUUGCUGCACUCUGGCUCAGAAAACUCAAUCUUCAUUCUUCUUUCAAUCUUUCAAACUGCUAACCACAAAAAAAAAGGACACAAAUUUGAUUAGCAUUAGAGGAUAACUUGCAGAAACUAAUUCGAAUUGCAGAAACUAAGUAACAGAAACCCUAAAUCCAGAUCGAUUAAGAAAGUAAUUUCCACUCAAAUUAACGAUUUUUAUACACCAGAAAGUAACGAUCUUUUAUUCACUACAUAACAGGAAUAAACGAGUGAUUGUCGACAGAGGAAACAGUAUGUGAAAGCGUGGAACAGAAGCAACACAAGAACCCUAACUACAAAGAGAAAACAUGAUCGAACCCAAAUCAAGCAAAACAAAGACAAAGAAGACCAAGAGAUACUGAUCGGUAUUCAAAAUUGUUGCAAGAAUCAAAAUUGCCCAAAAUCGUCAGAGUUUAAAGAAAAAUCCAACCUUUUUUUAUCAAGUAGGAAGCAGGGGAACGACCAAGUGACUGAAGGAGAAGCUUACGGAGACGACAACAACAAUGAUGCGGUUUCAGAAUCUGAUGAUGAAAUCAAAGUUAGGGUUUGUGUGAAGAAGAAGAAAAAGAAGAGAAAUUUGUGGUUUCAAUUUAUAGGAAACGAUUUCUUCAAUUUGCCUGCGUCGCUCUGACGCUUCCUCUAAGAUUGUUUUUUUCUUUCUUUUCUUCCUGUGGCGUUGUUUUAACGCCGGACGUUUAGGCAAUCUAAUGGAAAUCUCAAUCAAUAUAAAGAUCAAAUAAACUAGUAGAGAUAUAUAAUUUUUACUUCUUACAACAGACAAUUAUAUAUAUUUUUGAAAUUGAAAAAUUAAUAAGUACAUGACUUUACUUGACUUUAAAUCAAUUCUACUAAAAAUGAAAAAAAAAAAAAAAAAAAACUUAAUUUGCCCCCAAAAAAAAUUUAAUAAGAGAAAAAGUAUGUUUUGUCACACAAAACUUUAACCAAAACAAGACUUUAAUUGAAUUUAAAUUCAUUGUACAUAAAAGUAAUAUAUGAGACAUGCUUAAUUUUAAUAAAAAAUUUUUUUGGAGAUAUUAAAUAUUGUCAAAACAGGUCGGAAUCUGCAAACCAAACCCAAUCUAUCUCAUUAUGGAUUGAAAAUAGGCAAAAUAGUUUAGAUCAACAUCAAAAUACUUUAUUUCAAAGUUUCAACCAAUACUUCCACAUAACAAAAUGCUCUAAACGGAGCUAUGAUAAUGCAUCAAACAUCCAAGGCACGACCAUCCAGCAUGAAAGAAAUGCCCGAAUCUACAAGGGUAUCUACACAUGCUCUGCUAGAAGGCAUAUUCUGAAGUUUCAAGACAUACUCAAUUUGUGGUUUUGAGGCUCCUCUCUUUAAUAUAUUGGUAAGUUUGUAAGUUUAUUUUUGUUCUUGUAUCAUUCAUCCCGGUGUUCGUUGUUGUUGUGACACCUACUUUUCAGUAUCAUUCAUCCCGGUGUUCGUUGUUGUUGUGACACAUACUUUUCUAAUCUAUGUAAUCGUUAACAAAGUUUAUAAACCAUAAAGUUUAGCAAAAAAAGAAAUCUUUGAAAGAAAAGGGGAAAAUCACAUUUUUAACCCUCAAAAUGUAACUGGAAGCACUUUAAACCUUGAAAGAAUUCUACUAACACUACAAACCACCAAGAUUGUUUUAUUAACACUUUAAACCUUCAAACUAACUUUUCUGUUUGCAAAGCUAUAAAAAAUGAUGAAACAAUCAAUUUAUGUUUGUUUAAUAUAUAUUUAUUUAAUUUAAUUUAAAUUCUAAUUACUUUUAUUAUUUAUUGCAAUUAAUAAAAAUCUAUAAAAACAAGAAAAAAACUUUAUUUUCUUCGUUUACUCACUGUCCGACCAUGAAAUUUCUUGAUAAACUGUUGAAACAAUCUUUUAAACUGAUCCAUAAGCGUUUUCACUCUCUCCGCUGGAUAAAUAGGAAUCUCAUAAUAUCAAUUGAAUAAAAAGAUGGUCAACAUAUACAAUAAACUAAAUAAAAAUCUGAAAAAUUGUGGUCGGACGGUGAAUAGUCGAAGAUGAUGAUUUUUUUUUUACUUUUUUAUUUAUCAUCAAAAUUGUAAUAAAUAAUAAAAUUAAUUAAAAUUUAAAUUAAAUUAAAGAAAUAUAUAUUAAACAAACAUAAAUUGAUUGUUCCAUCAUUUUUUAUAGCUUUGCAAACAGAAAAACUAGUUUGGAAGUUUAAAGUGUUAGUAAAACAAUCUUGGUGGUUUAUAGUGUUAUUAGUAGAAUUCUUUCGAGGUUUAAAGUGCUACCCAGUUACACUUUGAGGGUUAAGAAUGUGAUUUUCCCGAAAGAAAAGUAUGAGUUUUGUAAUAUUUGCUGAAGAAUAAGAUAGAAACAAAUAUUUGUAAAAGAGUAGACUAAGAAAGGAAAUAGAAUUAGGGUCACAAUUAAGCCGGUAUAAAGAGAUUCCAUAAUCAAAAGAAGAAUAAAUAUAGUGGAAAAAGGAUAUUAAACAUUUUUUAAGUCAAAUAUCAAAAUAGCUAAAGUUAAAUUUCCUUUUAAUUAAACUCUCUCCCUAAACUUUGGUAUUAUAAAUGUACAUUGAGCAAUGGAAUAACACAUCACACACACAAAAAUUGUUCAAGUCUUUGUUUCUUUUCAAAGACUUAUAGCAGCAAGAAACAUGAAAAGCUCCUUCACGUUCACCAUCUUCUUCUUUGCUCUUCUCCUUACAUCAUCUUGUUAUCAUCUCUUUCUCAAAAAAAUUUGUAAGAUUUUGUGAAAAUAACUAAUAAUAUAAUUAUGUGUUUGGUGUAUAUAUAGGUGUGGUGAUGAGUGCUAGGAUGCAAGAAAGCAAAAACGGUAUAUUAUUGAAGCCUAUGACAUGCAAUACCAAUGCAGAUUGUGCUAAGUUUUGCAAAGGUCCAAUCCACAACUGCCUAUAUCAUACUUGUGCCUGUGUACCGGGAAAUCCUCAUUGUUGCUAGAAACACAUAAAGUUUCUAAAAUUCUUUUGCUUCUGAUUCAAUAUUUUAUUUGCAUUGGAUUUGGAUUAGUUUUCACACAAAAAUAAAAUAAAAUUAUGUUUCCUUGUUAGUCUACUUGAUUUUGUAAGUGCAUUCACAAGACGCAAAAUCGAUAUACACAACUAGACCGAACAACUUAAGCUGAUCAGCAGUAUUACAUAUGACAUUGGAACCAAGAAAGAUUAUAUAUUAGUUGAAAGAAACGACUUCUUUGAGUCAUUAGGAAGAAAGAAGAUCAACAAAUUAAACAUUUUUGAUGCUUAAGUUUUAAAUUUAUUAACACUCGCUGAUAUGUAUAAUCGCUAUACAUGCACAUAAGAGGAAGCUAGAGAUUACUAUGUGAUGUGUAUUACUUAUUAAACCUUUGAAACUGGAGAGAAUAAAGACAUUAGAUAGUCAUAAAUUUGACAGAAUUGUUUUUUUUUUUUUUCUUAAUCAAAACAAAGACUUAGUCCUACAAUUUGGAAGACAGAGUUUGAUGCAAAGAGUAAAGAAAUUACUGCAGACUCAUGGCGGCGAAUGGGAGAAGAAUGAAACCUUGUACAAGAUAGGCUUGAACUGCUGGAGAGUAAUGAAAUUACUGCAAACUCAUGGCGGCGAACGGGAGAAGAAUGAAACCUUGAACAGGAUAGGUUUGAAGUGCUGGAGUUGUGCCUUGAGCAGCAAGAGUUGUACCAAACAUCAUAGGACCAGAACUAGCGGUAGGAAAGAACAACCCGGGAGGAGUUGUAGCAGCUGAUGGAGGAGUUGUGGCACCAUUAAAAGUGAAGUGACCAGAAGCAGAGGAGCUACUUGUUGCUCCACACACUGUGCAUCCAAAUGCUGGGGAAGAAACAGCAGCUGUUUCAUGGGGUCUCUGAAUACAGGAGCUUUCGGCAGGAAAUGUAGUAGAGAACGAUGAAAAAGAACUCGGAAACUGGGAACCGAAACCAGUGAAAGGCGCAUUAGGUUGACCGAAACCACUAGGUGAAAAUGUUGUUGCACCACCAGUAGAAGCAGGGAAGAAACCAAAAGAAGGACCAUUAAAGUUUCCUUGCGUUGUACCAAAGUUUGUCCUCUGAUGAUGAUCAGGUACGCUUGGAGAAGCAAAUAUUGAUGGCGACACAGUUGAUGGUGAAAAAACAGCGUUGGGUCUUGAGCCUAUGGGAGAGGCAUGAGCAGCAGGAAACGACCCACCUGAACAAGAGAUUAGUCAAAAUCACAGAGAUAUAAACGAGAAAUUAAUGUAACAAGGAUUUAAAUUAUGAGUUAGUUACCUAUACCUCCUUUCUUGUAAUCUUCCCACCUUAAUUCUUCAGGGCUUUUGUCUAGAUAAGGGUUGGAAGCAGAUAUAUUUUGUCCAUCAUGCGAGCUCCGCAAGAGAGUAGUAGCUCCAUUGAAACCAAAAGGUUGAGGAGAUGAUGUUUUAACACCAGCAAAGGCUGAACCACCAACAGAGUAGUAACUUAGUGGAUGUUGCGCUGGCGCAAAAAGUGAAGAAACACUCGUUGCAGAUGUACCAAAAACUGAUGCAGUAGUCGAAGGGUUUGGUCCGAAAAGGUUAGAAGAUGAAGAUGCUGGCGAGGAACCAAAACCAGGUCUAGCAAAAGAACAUUCACACCUUGUAGGUGCUGGGGUGCUUGAAGCACAAACAGAAGUAUUCUUGGGAAAAUCUUGGGACGGCCCAUACAGUGAAGAAACACUCACUGGUGUUGUACCAAAAACUACUGUACUAGUAGAGGAGGAUGCUGGCAAGACACCAACAUCAGGUCUGGACCAGGCCCAUUCAACACCGCGCUCUGUAGAAUAAGAAUUAAGAGCCCAAGUCAUAUCUUGCGCUGGCCCAAACAGUGAAGAACCACGCGGUGGAGGUGGUGGCACGUAACCAAAUGGGAGGAAGCUAAUGGGUGUGGAAGUAGUAGACGCACCAGAACCAUAAGUAGCUUGUACAGGAGCUUGGAAGGCUGGUCCGGAACUAACGGAUGUGAUGACAGCAGGAGGGGAACCAAAGCUGAAUGGUGAAGAACUUUGAACUGGAGAUGAUGUUGAGGUUGAACCAAUAGCAGCAGAAUCAUGUCCAAGAGCUUGAACUGGUCCGGAACUAACCGGCACUGAAGUGAUGGAUUCUU